GAAUUUCCUGCAUCUUUGUGCACUCUUUACCACUUGCAGAUCCUUCUGUUCAGUUACAGAGUUCAGAGUUUGCCUAAGAAACUAUGCAAUUUAAGUAAGUUACUAAGUUUUGAACCAUAUCGUGAAGGAUCCUACAGGAAAAGACUUUAUGCAGAGCUGCCUCAAAUUCCUUACAUAGGCAAGCUAACUUCGCUGCAAAAUCUUGAAGAAUUCCGUGUGCAAAAGCAGAAAGGAUAUGAGCCGCGACAGCUGAGGGACAUGAAUGGGCUUGGUGGCUGGUUAUCUAUUACACAUCUCGAGAAUGUCACUAGAAAGGAUGAAGCUGCAGAGAUGAUGCUGCAUAAGAAAAGAUAUCUUGAACAUUUGGAACUUAUCUGGAGCAAUGAGAGUGACUCGCAUGCUGAGGAUAGUUUACAUCUGGACAUUCUAGAAGGUCUGAGGCCACCGGCUCAAUUGCAGGGCCUUGCAAUCGAGGGUUACAAAUCUGACAGAUACCCAAGCUGGUUACUAGAGGGUUCAUAUUUUGACAAUUGGACUUGUUUGGACUUCAUGAUUGCACUGCGUUAGAAGGUCUACCACUCAACACCGAGGUCUUUAGGCAUUGCUCCAGACUGGUGAUCUGGGACGUACCAAACCUGAAGACAUUACCUUGUCUGCCAGAAGGCAUGGCAGAUGUAUCAAUUAAAGGAUGCCCGCUGCUUAUGUUUAUCUCCAGCAACGAGAUGAGAGAACAUGAUAAGAGAGAAAAUAUUGUGAUGCCAGAGCAAUUGGUGUCUCAGCUUUGCUUGAUCUGGGAGUUGGAUUCAGGAUCACAUCCAGUGAUUAAGAGCAACCUUCAUGAAGAACAUUCAUCUUUGAAGCAACAGACGCCAUUGGUGGAUGCUGAUAUAUCCCAACAUCUUCAGACCAUCAGCGGGACCCUUGAACAAGAAAAAGAUGAAGUAUAUGAUAAAGAAACAGUCAUCAAGGCAUGGUUAUGUUGCCACGAACAGAGAAUAAAACUCUUGUACGGGACUAAUAUUGGGCAACAGUUGCUUCUGCCAUCAACUCUGGGUAACCUUUAUCUUUCUUCAUGCAGUAUUACAAACGGCGCUUUAGGAGUUUGCCUAGGCAGCCUCACUUUACUAAGAGAACUGUCGUCUAUUUGAGGAGUGGGAAAUGAUGUUGUUGCAGUUGCAGUUCCUGUCUUCAUCAGGGAUGGCAAGAUCGUCGGCCGCUACGUCGGCUCCGGCAAGGGCGAGCUCGUCGGCGAGAUCCUCAGAUACAACGGCGUCAGGGUCACCUACUGCAGCCAACAAGCCAACAGGCCCCCCAGUCUUCAAUCUCAUUCAGCAGCACCAACAAUACACACACAUGAAUGGAGAACAGUUUGAAAAUUGAAGAUACAACAUGUAAAAUUACGGCGACAUCAAUCGAUGAUUGGUCGAUGUUUAGAUUGUUUAUUGGGCACCAUUACCAUAAGUGUAUGUUACUCAGAGUAUUAUUCUAUACUAAUAGUACAAUUUUGGAGUGCUAACAGCUGCUACUCUGAAACUUUGAUCUAUCAGCUUGCUUCUCCAGUUUCUCUUGCAACGAGUUUACAGCGACGCAGUGACUUUUGUAUCUCUUCAUACAGACGAUUCUAACGACCGCAAUGACUUUUGUACGUCUUUGUACAGACGAUUCUAACGACUUGGCACUUGCGAUGUUAUCCAGCAAUGGCACAGCCAGACAACACAAAAAUUUGUUUCAAAGCAGGCCAGGCCACGACACACCUACGGUAGAAUCCAAAUACAACAACGGUCUGUUCAACAAGAGGCCAGGUACACCAAACAUUUGUCAAACCCAACUAGAAGCUCUGAAUAUAUCGCAAACAUCCAUUUUCCAGAGGCCAAACUGCAGCUGGGGAAUUGCAUUGUCCACCAGUUUACACUGCAUCUCGAGCUUUAAGUACUAUUUAAUCAUUCUCGAUGAUUGCUCACAUUUUUCCUGGACAUUUCCACUGCGGCUGAAAUCUGACACGUUUACCACACUUGCUGACUUCCUUUCCUACGUGUCCAUGCAGUUUGGCGCCACCAUUAAGGCCGUCCAAUGCGACAACAGUCGUGAGUUUGAUAACUCCAGCGCCCACACGUUCGUCCUCUCCGUGGCGCCACCUCCGCAUGUCCUGCCCGUACACGUCGCCGCAAAACGGCUGAGCUGAGGUCAUUCGUAUAACGAACAACAUUCUUCGCUCACUCCUUUUCCAGGCAAGCCUUCCUCCCCCCGCUAUUGGGUAAAAGCUCUACAUACCGCGACUUACCUUUGCUUCCCACCAAGACCCUUGCUUCCCGCACGCCACAUGAGGCCCUGUACGGCGCCGCGCCGUCCUAUGAGCACCUACGGGUCUUUGGUUGUCGUUGCUAUCCAAACAUCUCCGCCACGGCUACUCAUAAACUCUUGCCUCGCUCUACCGCGUGCAUCUUCUUAGGCUAUUUAGCUCAUCACAAAGGGUACCGCUGCCUUGGUCUCGGUUCUAACCGUAUCAUCGUCUCUCGACACGUCACAUUCGACGAGUCAUUGUUUCCCUACGCCAAGAUAUUCCCACCAUCCCCACCGGCGGCCUAUGAGUUCUUGGAUGACGACACUGACAUCAUGCUGUUCCCUAUGCGAACGACACAACUUCCUUUGCCUGCAGGUCCUCCUGGCGUUAUCGACGCUGCUCCGGUGCCCCUCCUUGCUGUUGGAGGUAUGCCCUAGAGGCAAUCAUAGAAAUGAUGAUAUUUCAUUUGUAUCCAUGAUUUAUAUUAUUUUCCUUGAAUAUCCAUUAAAGGUUACUUGAAUUGAUUUGCAAUUAUGUGAAUUGUAUGUGAAACUUUUUACUUGUAUGGUUAUUCUAAAGUUGUCCCUAGUCGGAGUUCAUGUGAGGACACACAUGAAUAUUAGACUAGUACAUGUAUUAGUUGAUGACUAUGUUUCACAAGUCAUGGAUAUAGAGAUGUCAAACUAAUAAUGUAGGCACAUGUAGAGACAUGUGCUAGGACUGACCCAACAUGAGAAGUAGUUCUCUCUUUACACAACAUGUACUAAAGAUGUGGAUCGACUUACUUAGGGGCUAUCAAACACUACACCGUAACAGGGUAGUUAAAAAGGUAGCUUUCGGGUUUGUCAAGAAGCAUGCUGUGAGACAUGGUCAAUCAAGAUGAGAUUUGCCCCUCUCUGACUGAGAGAGAUAUCUCUGGCCCCUCGAGUGAUCAGAUCGAGAAAUGCAUGGCCAUGCUACGUACGGUUAAGAGUUAACUGACAAAGGGAUUCCGAGUCAUAGGAGCAAGAAAGAGUGGUCGGCUUGGAGCUAGACCAAAUAUCGUGAGGCAAAGGGAAUAGCAUGUACGUGAUGUUGUGAUGGUUCGUCUGAUAUAAUCUUCGUGUGCGUAUAGGAGUUGGCACGUCUUGCUAGAGGCCGUUACCGACUAUUGGGCUGAGUAAGAGUACUCGGGUCAUAUCUAUACGUAUCCGAACCAAUAGGGUCACACACUUAAGGGGUUGGAAGUCCAAUUCGGAUCAUCAGGUUUAGGAGUACUAAUGGGCCUCGGACCUAGAGGCCCGUCAGGAACCUCUAUAAAUAGAGGGGUGGGGGCGCCCUAGAGUGGACACCUUUUGACCGAAGCAUAGCCGCCGCGCCUCCCAUACCCUCGCCCUGUUGCAACUCGCGGACCUAGCAGUCCAGCUUGCGGCGUUUCCUCCCUGCACGUGUGGAUACCUUGGAGGUGUUGCACCUGCGGCACUUGGACGAGCCACGACGAGCCGACGACGAGCCGCGACACGAGAAGGAUCUUGCUGCACGUGGACGAGCUGCUGAGGAGCUGCUCGACAUCGAUGUGAUCGACUACGUGUUCAACUACACUGAUCGACUUCGUUGCCCCGACGCGAUUCUACAACUUCCGUACUUGUGCGUCGAGUGGUAAUCCCGUGAUUCAUAUAUGACAGUUUUCCUGGUUUACAUGGUAGAAAAAUUAUUUUUGCGCCAGCGUAGCCUACCUCGUAUCCCAACACUUGCACCACUCGGCACCGUACCGCCGGCUCCAGCUGCCGCGUCAUUGCCACCCAGCACCUCCUCGACACCACCUGGCAGCGGCCCGCGGCUGCCGCUGUUGGGCGACACCGUCGGCGCAUCCCUGCGCCCCCUGGCGCAGCCGUCGACCCGCCUGGCAGAGGCCUGGCGCUGCCGCUGCUGGGCGCCGCCACGGGCGCUGCUGCUGGCGCUCACCCGAGCGCUGCUGGGGGCUUGGCGCCUCUGCAGUGGUCCUUGGUGCUCCAUCAGGUGCUCCUGCUCCCCGUGCCGCAGGCGCCCCAGGCGCACCCAUCGGCGCCUCCACCACACAGUCAGGCGGAUCCCCUGGAGCACGGCCUCCAGCCUUCCUCCCAGUGCUGCGGAGCCCGCCCGGCUUCGAUUCAACGCCCCUGCGCUUCGUGUACACUCGUUGCUCCGUCGCCUCUCGUCUGCUGUCACCGCCACCGGCCUGUGAUGCCGGGCCGCCACCUCCGGCACUGCCUCUUCCCAAAGGAGCCAUUUCCGUCCAGCCUGUCGUCAACCAGCACGGCAUGACGACCUGUGCUAAGCUUGGCUUCCGACAGCCUGCCCUGUUCCACACUGCGCCGCUGUCGCCAGUUCCGAAGACAUUCCGCAGCGCCCUCGCUGAUCCAAACUGGCGGGCAGCUAUGGAAGAGGAGCACGCCGCACUUCUUCGGAACAACACAUGGGAUCUUGUGCCUCAUCCCGCUUGUGCCAAUGUCGUCAACUGGUAAAUGGAUAUUCAAGCACAAAUUCCAUUCAGACGGGUCUCUUGAGCGGUACAAGGUCAGAUGGGUUCUUCACAGUUUCACUUAGCGCCCUGGAGUUGAUUUUGACGAGACCUUCAGUCCAGUCGUCAAGCCUGCUACUGUCCGGACAGUUCUCUCAUUGGCUCUCUCUCGACACUGGCCUGUGCAUCAGCUAGAUGUCCAGAAUGCAUUCCUCCAUGGCACCCUGUCUGAGACAGUCUACUGUGCUCAGCCUGUUGGUUUUGAGGAUCCAGCUCACCCUGACUUCGUCUGCCGCCUCAACAAGUCUCUCUACGGCUUGAAGCAAGCUCCUCGCGCCUGGUACAGUCGGUUCGCGGCUUAUAUUCAGUCUAUUGGUUUCGUGGAGGCCAAGUCAGACACUUCGCUGUUUGUCUAUCAUCGUGGUGCUGAGACUGCAUAUCUUCUGCUCUAUGUGGAUGACAUUGUUCUCACGGCCUCAUCGACUACAUUGUUGCUGCAGAUUAUACAGGCCCUACAACGAGAAUUCUCCAUGAAGGACCUCGGAUCUUUGCAUCACUUCUUGGGAAUGCGUGUGCAGCCAGCAGCCAGUGGAGGAUUUCUAUUGACACAACGGCAGUACAUGCUGGACAUCUUGGAGCGGGCAGGCAUGGCUGAUUGCAAGCCGUGCUCCACACUUGUCGACACCAAUCCCAAGGUGUCGACAACUUCUGGUGCUCCCAUCACCGAUGCUUCGGAGUUUUGCAAUCUCGCCGGCGCCUUGCAGUACCUCACUUUCACAAGGCCAGAUAUUGCUUAUGCUGUUCAGCAGGUUUGCCUCCACAUGCAUGAUCCACGGGAGCCUCACCUUGCUGCCCUGAAGCGCAUUCUUCGGUACAUCCGCGGGACUUUGCACCUUGGCCUUCAUCUGCGACCGUGCUCAGCUCAGGAUUCCUGGUGGUUUACUUUGAUGCGGAUUGAGCAGGCUGUCCCGACACACGGAAGUUAACUUCCGGAUAUGCGGUCUUUCUUGGCGACAAUCUAAUUUCUUGGUCUUCCAAGCGACAGCCAAUCGUCUCCAGGUCCAGUGCCGAAGCUGAGUAUCGCGUCGUGGCCAAUGCAGUAGCCGAGGCCACCUGGUUGCGCCAGUUGCUUCAGGAGCUCCAUACACCACUUCGCCACAUGUCCCUGGUCUACUGUGACAACGUCAGCGCGGUGUACAUGUCCUCCAACCCGGUUCAGCAUCAGCGCACUAAGCACAUUGAGAUCGAUCUUCACUUCGUUCGGGAGCGCGUGGCUGUUGGGGAUGUUCAGGUCCUUCACGUUCCCACGUCGUCCCAUUACGCCGAUGUCUUCAAGGGGUUGCCAUCUUCUGUAUUCACAGAGUUUCGGUCCAGUCUAAACGUUCGUGGUCCCAACGCUUAGACUGCGGGAGCGUGUUAGAAUGUAUAUGUGUACUUGGGCGGCAGCCCAGCUAGGCCCACACGACUGGCUCCCUGGCUGAUACCUGGCGCACCAGGACUCCAAGCGCGGGGUGCUAGGACUCCAAGGGGGCUGCCACCAGGGUUGUAGAUUGGGCGAGGCUAGGACCCUCGCCUAUAUAUACACACACACGCGUACGUACGUGCUAUGCACCUCCAUAACUACUUUCACUUAGACAGGGACGGAAAGGUUCUCGGGUUCCGCCGCUUCUCCUCCACCCACCGCGCCGCCUGCCUCCUCCCACGCACGCCGGGGUUCUCCUCGCUUCGUCGCGUCUGAUCAAUCACGCUAGCUGCGCUAGCUAGGAGGUGAGGCGCGCGCUGCUUCCUCCGCCUCCGUGUGGGUGGAUAAUACGUCGCAUCCAGCGAUCCGGUGUCAACGAUUUGCUCGUCUCCCUCGUUUUAAAAACGUUUUUUUCAUCCUUUAAUUUGGUAACUCAGCAGAGCUAUUCCCCUUCCGCCGGCGGGGAGGGGAUCGAUCGGAUACACGAUGGCGGCGGCGCCGGUGAAUGUUUCCCUGCAAGGGCCUGCUGGCUGCCCGACGACCUUCCUCUCCGCGAGGAAGCCGCGGAGCGCCAGCUUCGUCCGCUUCCCGCGCAACCAUCCUCUGCAGCAGCGCGGCGGCGUCUUCCCGUCUCUAGCCUGGAGCGCAGGCGGCGACGACAGACGGCGCAGGAGGUUGAAAGCCCAGGUACAUGUACAUAGCAGGAGUUCCUGAACUCUGCAGGGUUCGGACUGCCGUCUCCUUGCUUUUUAAUAAAUGGUGGUUGAUUAGAGUAUCUGCAUUACUGACAAGAUUGCUUUCAUAAAUCAUUUGCAUAUAUUCUGUUGCCCAUAUUGUCAGAGUAGAUCAUUGUUGAUAAACGAUGGAGGACUUGAUCUACAAUUGUUCCAGCAGUUGAAUAGGGGCCUUUGAGUCCUCUAAUUGUGAUUUAUGAUAAAGGCUAUAUAUACUGCCAUGUAUUUUUUAAAUUUUUUAUUUUCAUAGAUUCUGACAAUAAGAUAUUUACAUAAGACUGUUUUUCAUGUACGAGUAUAGGAGCCGGACCAGGUGCCGCGAAGUUGCAAACAGUUGUUCAGUGAUGCAGAUUUUGUUGAUCCUCGGACACCAACUUCUUACAUCGAUGUCCUCAACAAGUUAAGGCUACGCCAUCCAUCGGUACCAUUUUGAUCUCUCUCUCUUCAUCUUUGUACUAAAUUGGGCAAUUAAGUAUGCUAGCUGUUUCCAUCAUGGUAGCCCUUUGUUUCGUGCAUUAUGCUACAACUAUGAAUGGUUAACGCUGAAUUUUACUAGAAUACUUGAAUUUUUCAUAUGCACCAAUGUAUUGUCAACUUUACAUGUUUGAAAAAAAUGUAAAUUAUAAGCAUUCGUAUUUGUGCACAAUAGGCAACAAACCAUACUGUAGACACAAGGAGAGUUUUAGUUUUUGUAUGUUAAUCUGAUAACAUUAGCCUAAUAAGGCACAAAUUCAAUUGCUUAGAUGCCUUUUGUAGUGUCACGAAUUUAACUGCACGAUAUGUUUUAGUCACUGCAGCAGAAACUAAUGCGUGAAGAGGACGAGCGGUAUGAAAAGGCUCUACAGAAGUGUGCUAGAAACUUUGUGGACGGAAUCAUACAGUUUGUUUCAUCAGAGAAGGAAUACUACAAGUUUAUUAUAAUUGCCUGCAAAGAAAACACCAACAUGAUCGUGGAGCUGGUAUUCUCUUGAUACUUUUUGUUGAUACCUUGUAAAGUUACUUUUUUUUCCCUAUAUUAUGUGCAUAUUCCUUGGACAAGGAAAGAGUGAUUUAGUUUUGAUUUAGUUUCUUUUGUCCGUGAUGGCUCAAUGUUUCAUUAGGUUUACUUCCAUUAAUAGUAGUCCCUCUGUUUUAUAGAAAUAAAUAAUGUUCAGGACAAGCUAAUUAGUUUGUUGUCCUAAUUGACAAAGUAGACUUACAUCCUGUACAAUACCAAAAUCAUGCCUUAUACAUAUUCUGAAAUCUUGUGUUCUAUUGGUACUGAAAUUUCAUCUUGUAGUACUUCCUGUCAAUUUGUUAAAACUGAGGCAUUAAUCAUGUCUUUUGGGGUCCAGAAAAGCCAACUUAGCCAAUUUCUUUCAUGCGCUGGUGCUGACCCUACUACCUGAGAAUCUCAUACUGUUUCUAUGAUUCUACAUUUUUUUACAGGGUUUCAUAUCUUGUAAUAACCGAGAUGACAUUCUAAACGGUCUUGAAAGAAUAGAAGAUGAUAUUGCAAAAGGAAGGUUUGAGUGGAGAGAAAAUAAAGAUGUACGAAGUAAUAUUGUUGAAGCACUCAUUGAAAGAGUUGGAGAACCGGCAAGAAAGCUCGAUGUAACAAUAAGUCAAUAUGUUCAAAAGCUAACAAUCCUCCGAUUAUGGUUCCACAACUCUACAGAUACAAUUCUUACUCAAAUAGAACAGCUUCAGGUUAACCUAUGCAGCUAUUCUUGUAAACUUGUUUCUUUUGUUUCUAUGAACUUCUGCUUCCUGCAUUGCGUAUAAUUCCAUUACCGUUACCAUUAGUUUCUUGUUACAUCUAGGGAUAGCUGAACUAUAUACUUUUCAUGCCCUACUGUGCUAAUGAUAUGAAAUAGCACCUUGUUUUUUGGCCUAAAAGCAAUUUGGAUUGCUAGCUUUUAGAAUUUGGUUUAUCUAACUUCAUCACUAUUCACACUAUCUGAGAAGAAUAUUUGCAAUACUAUGACAUCAGAUUAUAUGAGAUAAUUUCCUCACCCUGCAUGAAUAAUUAAGUAAUCUUCUUAACUUCUCUUUGACGCUUAAUGUGGAAAUUACUUAGUUGUUAGUCCUUGUCUAAUAGGAUGCAAUUUUUAUGAAUUAAAUGUUGUGCAGUUAUAGAGGGAUAGACUAGUUGGGUGGCUUAUCAAGUGUCCUCAAAUGCAACCUUUUGCCAUGUUACAAACAAACAAGUGCAAUUAUAUCCAUGUCCUGAAUCUGCAUGGAAGAAAGAAGUUAAAUAUACAUGCAUUAGACAGUAAUGGUUCUAUAAGAAUAAUAUAUGGCGUCAAAAAUAGAAAUUGUCCCAUUGUUGACAUUAUGAUGAAUUAUUGGGUCGUCACAAACUGAAGGAUGCUACUGUAUUUGAUACCACAACUCAUGAACAAUAAUUUUUAUUUAAGUUUCUUCUGAAGUUCUGAAACUGAAUAUGAAAUUUCUGUUUAGUGCUAAUUUUAUGCAUGAUGACAUCCAACUUUGGUUCACUGUGAAUAUUAUAGGUUGAGCUGGUUUUGCUAGCACUAAGAAAUUGGGAAUUUGUUGUGCCUCUCAUUUGUCGCCGUACUGAUUGGAUUCUACUUGGCGAAUUUAUAUUGUCUCAAGUUGAGCUGGUAAUUCUCGUGUAUAAAGAAACUUUGAAUGUUGUUUUACUAGUCGGAGUGAAUGGAAGACUCGCACAUAUUUCUAUACUGCCCUGAUGAUAUUGACAUCUGUUUAAUUUAUGCAAACUCAAAUAGUAGUCUAAAUUACCUAUAACCACUUAAACCAUAGUUCAUUUACUUUGUGCAUCCAGGGGCGGAUCCAGGGCCCGGGCUGCAGCCUGGGGCGAGACCAUGGAGUCCCUUUAACCUAUGUGCUGUUUAGCCUAACAAAAUGAGGCUUAGGAGACAAAAUUAGACUAUUUUAGGUGUGAUUCAACAGCUCAGCCCGGGGCGCAGCCCCAUUCUGAAUCCGCUCCUGUGUGCAUCCAUUUACUUCAUUUACCUGCAACCACUUAUACCAAAAUGUGCCUGCUCUGCCCUGAUGCACCAGAUACAUUUUGGUACUAAUAGGUACUUUUCCAGUAGUGGGCAUCCUUUCAGGUUUCAUAAACUGUAAAGGCAUAAACACAUGUGAGCCUCAUAAACUCACACCAUAUUUAAGGUAUAUGGGCUCAUUUUCCCACAAUAUAUAUUCAACUCAAAAGUUUACCAUACUUGUGAUUUAUGUAUUGUUUAUGUCAACAAUAAAUCUUUAUUCCAUCUUGUUGUCUUCCAUGCACAAGGAAAACCCUGAUGUGAUAAUUUGAUGUUAAACAGCUGGAAAGUGAUGUUUCUCGACUUCGUAGCUGCAAAAAUAUGAUUGGUUCUACACUACACAUUACCUUCCCUUUGUCCAGCAUUGAUGGAUGUCUAGACAGGUUUGAUUUGCUUCCGAAUUCUUCCUUCUUGGAACUCUUUUCCCCCUAUGACAGUUGAGUUUUGAUAGUUUAAUCUCAUGUGUUUAGUACAGUGUAUGUAUGUUACACAUAUUUGCUCUUUUUCUAAGGAAAUUGCACUUUUUAGAUCAUCUUCAUUACAUUAUUUGGAAUGCACAGUUGGGCUUUUAGCCUACUCCAUCCAUCUUCUAUGCAUGCUUAUUUAUUUUCGUAGUGUUCAUGUUUGUCACGAGAGUACAUUACCAAAUGCACUCAACUAUACUGACUACUCUCUCUGUUCCAAACUAUAAGGUGGUUUUGGCAUUUCAAAUUUCAUAGUUUGUGGAUGAUCUAUGAUCCCUUUAUGUUUGUGGAUGUCCACCCAUGAUUCUUAUUUAAUUUUGAGGAAAUUUUGCCGCUUGAUGAUUCAUAGACAGUUGUCAUGCUGGACUGCUUACACAUGGUUAUAUAUUGGUCAGACAUUCACCUUCUAUAAUGUAUGUCUACUUCUGAAUUAUAAUGUAUGUCAUACAUUUUUAUUUGUUACUUCUCUAAGAAAACUGCACCUCCAAGGUUGCACCUCCAAGGUCAUCUUGGUUAUGUUAUUUUUAUAAAUCCCUUGUUUGUCUUGGAAUGUUAAUUCAGACUUUUAGCCCUUCAUCAUAUUAGCAUGCUCGUUUGACGUUUACCACAAGAGCACAGGAUAAGACUUAGUUCAAUCUCGAAAUGCAAGUUUGACUUGUAGAAGCAUAUGUACGGCAGAUUAUAUGUUGAGAAUACAGUUGUGCAUCAAGGAAACAAAUGAGCACUCUAAACAAAGUUCUGAGUGUCUCAUGUUUUAACUGGACUUUGACCAACAUUUGAACAAAUCUCUGUUUGAAUUCUUUCUAGUAGUUUGUGGAUUUCCACCCAUGAAUCACUUGCAGAAAUUUAUCCCCUACCCAAUGAACUUUACUUUUCUCGGAUUCGUGAACAUUCAGACUGCUGAUACACACUUAUAAACAAUAGUUCAAACACUCUGUUUUUUAUGGAUGCACUGUAUAUAUCAUCUAGUUUAUGCUUUAUUAAAGAAGUAAUUAUGUUAGUACUGCUCUGCAUUAUUCACCUCAGUUUUAGUGCAUAAUUUUUUUAGGCAAAGUUUUAGUGUAUAAUUUGGACUGGUCAUUGUGCAUUCCAUGAUACUGAUCCGUUAUUUCUAGAAUUUUUUAAGCUAACCACGAUACUUUUUGUUUAUACCAAUUUUUAUGUUUCAUCUAAGUACUUUGUUAGCUUGGAAACUGUUUUAUAAAUUUAACUGAGAGCUACUGUGUUUGUCUAGUUUAACAUUAUUUGAUUUGAUCUGGAACUACAGCAGGUUGUCUGACGAGGGCUCAGAUCUGCUACAAAAUGCUAUUGUAAAUUUUGCGAAUAUCAUUAUUGGUGACAUUGCCAUCAAUCUUGCUACUCUCGAAAGAGGAAUCAGUUAUUGGAGUAGUUUCCGAUUCUUAACAUCAAAUGAUAGGGUCAAGGAAAGUGUCUCACUUCUGGGAAAGCAUGUUUCAGAUCUUGAUAAGUAUACUGCCACCAAAGAAAAUUCCCUGACUUCCUUUCACAUUCAGGUACAGUAGCAUAAGCAUCACGUCCCUUAAAAAUUGUCAGCUUCUACUGUCUACGCCUAAUGGAGAUUGUUAUUAUUGGAGCAGGAUCCUUUCCAACGAUUUGUGGCUGUCUAUGUAAUUGUUCAACAAAUACUGAAAGUAACUACAGAUUUUGCAAAAAAUGCAUCUUUCAAUCAUGAAAAGGUUCAAAAUUCGCCAUCGAAUUGUUGUGUCAGGAUUUCAAGGUUUUCAGAUUUCCAUACUGUCAAGGUAAACUUUUAAUUUCGCAUGCAGGAUUCAUAAUUUAGGCGUAUUGCCUUCUGUUCAUUGCAUGCCUUGACAUUGUCACACUAAUAUCAAUUUCUGGAGUAUAUUGAUACUUUCUUGGAAAGUAUUAAUUUUUUCUGUAUUAUUUUUAAAAAUUGAUCGGGCAUUUGAACUAUGUGCAAACAGAUAUGUUUUUACAUGCAGCAUCAUUAUUUUUUUAACAGAACCUGUAGCAUUAUUAAUUUUUCUGAUGUAUUAUUUUAUAAAUUUUGGUAGAAUUUGUAUUUAAAUUUAUUUGGGGGAGACAUUUGUGAAUUUAUAGUUAAUUUUAAUAUUAGGAAAAUUGAAUUUAGAGUGACCACUUACAAUAUUAAAUAACAAGGCAUAAAUGAACAGAUACAGAUUAUUGCAACCAUUUAUUAAAAUAUGAGUCACUUUAGUAUGGGAGCUUUUAAUGACUUCUUUUUUCUAUCAAAGCAGGGUAGAGAUCCGGAUCAAAGUGAAAAGAAGGAAGAUUAUGCCAUGGUGAUUAAAGAGUUCAGAUCUCGCAGUGAUGACACAGUGAAGAGAUUGAUCGAUUGGCUGGGGGAACAUCAAACGAGGGAAAAACCAUUGAAGUUCUGCAAAUUUUGGUCAGUGUAGUGCGUGGAUUCAAGUUUAAGUGUAUUGUCAAGGUGCCGAACUGCUAUGAGAGGGAGGGAGAGAUAUUCUCGCUGUAUUCUAGGUGGAUGACCUGAUUUAUAAGUAAUAAGUACCUAGUAAUUCUUACUGCCACUGUUACUGCAACUUGUGCAAACAUUGUGGUGCACUCUCUCGUGGGUAAUUACAGCAGUUUCAUUUUCGAAAAGGAGCUAAUUACAGCAGUUUCAUGACCACCAAAAUACCAUGUUUGUCAAAGCAAUCUAAAUGCUGAAAAAGUAAUGUAGUAGAGUAGCAAAGUAGUACAUGAGACUUCGAGAGGACAAAUGCAACUGUUGCCCACCCUGGCACCCUCCCUAAGUCCCCAAAGUAGUCUGAUCAAUCUUAGGAACCACUCCCUAACCUUCCAAGAGCUGCGAAUCAGGCCCUAGAACCCUGUCCCGGACCUCCCAGCUGGUGUGCUCAAGGCACUGGAUCACCAAUUUUGAGUCCCUCUCGCCGAUGGCGGACAUGCAGUCAGUUAAUCCCACGUCUUGCUCGAACAGGGCGAUUCUCCUGUCUCUCAAGGCCUUCCCGACAUCCUGUGAUUCCUCUUGAGGCCCAGUGGGGGGUGACACCUCCUGGAAUAUGUCUAGAGCUACAGCAUACACAUGCUCCAGUGCAAGAGCAUGCUCUUCAAGCAUUCUGUAACGGAUACUGUUUUGAGUGCUGCAGUACAAGAAGAAGGAUUACAUAGUAGUUAGGCUUUGGAACAACUCGAUGACUGUAACUAAUUUGAUUAUGCGUAGAUAAAUACCUUCUAAAUUUAGUGGAUUCCACAAUUGCACUGAACUCUUGCAGGCACUGCAAUAGCUGCCAGCAAGCAAGAAAGUAUCAACAUAUGUCAGCUAUAUACUCUCACUAGAUUGUUGACUUAUGUUCUCUAUAAUAAUGAAUACGCACACACAUACCCUCUUGAGGAGCAGAGGACAAGAUUCAUAUAGUAAAGAGCGGGGAGAUGGCCUCAUCCAACCUUCAUUGAGAAUUACAACUGAGUGUAGUGUUGCCUAUGAAAUAAAAUGUGUGAGUAUAGUUGUUAUGACAAGAAGAAACGAAACAGCAAGAUUUUCACCCGGUAACUCCCACAUUGUGCAAAUAAGUUCAUGAUUAAGUAGGCGCUUCCACAAGCAGAAGAACAACAACAAAGAAAUUCAACCAGCGCAUACCAUUGUAGGAGGCAUAUCGUAUCGGAAGAAACUAGCAGAGCAUGAAAAAAAGAUGAUAUCAGUAAUUUGAAUGGCUUGUUCGAAUCAGAUGCAUCAAAUCCUUGCUGAUUCGGUUUGGGCAUUCCAAAUAAUUAAAGGAUCCGUAAUCAUCUGAUUCAAACAAGCCAUUCAAAUUACUGAGAUCAUCUUUUUUUCAUGGUCUGCUAUUGCAAGCCGACCAAACAGAAACUAUAAUUGAUCAUCAGUCGUGAUGCUAGUUCUGACACAACUGAAAAUGGGGGAGCUAUUUGCACUUCAUACUGUCCAUGAAAAAGGAUGCACUAGAGGAAUGUUAAAUACAGCACACAAAUCGCAACAUCAAAAAUCUUACUCUGCUGGUUCAGCAAUCAGCAUUCAACAACGCUUGUAGAGUAUCAUAAGAAGGUAGCAGAUAUUUACUGAUUUGGUUUAGGCAUUCCAAAAAUCAAAAGAUCCCUAUGCAUCUGAUUCAAACAAUGGAUGGCAACCAAAAAACACCAAUUCUAACCCACGAGAUCCCCUGCUCAGUUAGCAACGGUGGUCUAGGGAAAUGCUACUGCUACUACUGGACCUUACUGCCCGAUGUAUGCAGAGUUGCAGACAGCAGACCUACUGAUGAUACUGUUAACGCAGACCAAACAGAAAUAAGAGCCAAGAAGAUUGGCGAAGAGAGAACACCGAGGCGAUGUAUGGGUACCAUUAACUUUUCGAUGGCCUGAAUCAGAGCCUCCGCUUUCUCUGCACUCCACAAGAAUUGCUCGUCGUCUUUAGGUGUAGUAGCCAACAUCAGCAUGUCCAGCUUCUCUCUCCCGAUCACUGCGCGGAGUCUGCCGAGGCAUGCUUCCGUAGUCCACGGGUAGAUCCUGGCACUGGGAUCGAGCUCGCCUAUCUCCUCCAGCAACUUCCUCAGAUCGCGGCCCGACUCAAGAACACCCUGCAGCACAGAACACGCGUGAUGCGGUUGCGGAAACGAUCUGGCGUUAGAAUCGAAAAAACUCAGCGAAGAAAGGAGUAGAUGGGAAAGAAGGCGAGGACGCGAGGUGCUUACGGCAUCAAAGGAGACCUCAAAGGUGGUCUUGAGGCGGGCGAGCUCAACCCACGCGGCGAUGUGCUUCGCCGACCGCAUGUUAUCGUACGAGAGCACCAGCUGCUCAGCAGCGCGCCUGUUGUCGUCGGACGGGGACAUGUUGGUGAGAGCUCCUCCUCUCGCCACCACGCCGCAGCGGCCCUUUGACAACGACCACCCCGCUCCGGCGACUGCGGCCGCGAUGGCGCAAUCGAGCGCGUUCCCCGCUCCGCCCACGGCCUCUCCGAAGAAGUUGGUGGCGCGGCCGCCCGUGGGCAGCGCGCCCACAACGAAGGACGACGCGCGGCGCCUGGAGGAAGAGGAACAGCCCGGAGAUGCGAAGCCGAUGCGCGCGUCGGCGAACGCUCUGGGCAGCGCACCAACGAUGAGAGACCCGCGACGCGAAGCGGAUGAGGUGGAGCGCGGAGAGGCGAAGCCGGCGAACGGCGCGGGCACGGCGACGACCUCGAGGGCGCGGACUCCCGCGGGGAGGCGAGCCCCGGCGGCGGUCGAGGGUGCCAUGACGAGGCGCGCUGAGCCGAACCCCAUGGCGGGCUCCAGGAGGAGGAGGCGCAUGGCGGAGGCGGUAGAUGCGUCCAUGGCGUCGACGCUGCUGGUGGAUCGGAGGAGGAGGAGGCGGCUAGGGCGAGAGGCCGGGGAUUUCGAGAGGCGGCGUGGGUGCGGGCGGUGCCGUGCGCGGCGAGGAGGGGAGAGGAGGAGAGGGAAUGCCAGGGUAGCGGCGCGGUUCGGCGUUCUUAUGCAAGCGCACGGCGUCGCGUCAUUAGCCGGCGGAUGGUGAUUAGCCGAAGGUUUACGCUGCAUUAGCAAGGUGGUUAGCAGCUAACGUCAUGACAGGUGGGGACGCUGCAUGUCGCGGCCCACUAGUCAGCCGGCGAUGCGCUCGGGACGUGGCGCGUGGGGCCGAGAGCCCCUGCCGUUCUUUUCACGCCGCAGCUCCCACGCGGGCGCUGGGCCCGCACGUCAGCUGCUCAUCGCCAGUGCGCGCGGCUUCGGCAUGGGGGGGUCGGUGGCGAAGUCUGCAGCUGCGUGGAUUGGUUUGGGCCCCACCGCUGGCGCUCUCCAGGAGUUGGUUACAUCCUCGAGGCUCGAGCGAGCGUGCUAGCGCAACUUUUUCCUGUGGUAUACUCCUUGGCGAUCGAAACAGAGAGGCGGCAGUAGUGUGGCGUACGUGUCGGCCGGGCGGUUGCAAUUCCGAUCACGAUGAUGGCCGUUCCUUGGCGCACGUACGCAUGCUAGCUGCUUAAAUUUUAAAACCGCCUAGUCCGCACUGGCAUCAAAGUCCAAACCUAGCAUGCAUGGUAUCCAUGCUGCAUGCACACGUACCAAUUACCAAAUGCACUCUGUUCCAAACUAUAAGGUGGUUUUGGCAUUUCACAUUUCAUAGUUUAUCUAGACAACAUGGUAAAAGUUAUGAAUCUAAAACUACCAAAAUGAUCUGUAAUUUGGGACGGAGGGAGUAGCUAGUAACACAACUUAUCACCAAAUAGAGCAAUCGCACACUUAAUAAUCACGGCAAGAAGCUACUCACUCCGUUUCAAAUUGUAGGUCGUUUUGACUAGGUUUAUAGAUAUUAUUAUGUACAUAGAUAUACACUAUAUCUAGAUGCAUAAUAAUAUCUACGAAUCUAAAAAAAUAAAACGACCUACAAUUUGGAACGAAGGGAGUAACAUACAUGAAUAAGUAUAGUAACUUUAGGGAAAAUGGGACUGAUUAAUUACGGAGGCUAAGGUGAGACGAGCUGCUUGUCACUUCAUUCAGUGCAUGUGCCUAGUUGUGUCUGAAGUUCACAGCUGAGGAAACCGCCUCCAAUACCUGGUCCUAACCUAUCUUUAGUACCGAUUAUACAACCGGUAUUGAUAUAUGUUACUAAGAUUUGUGUGAUGGCGCCCUAUUAAGGAUGCGGAGGAGGAACCUGCUUAAGUUGGUGUGACCGUGUGAGUGGACGUUUUUUAGGAGCAGCUAUAUAUCCCUCUUAAUCAUCUGUACAAAAAUAUUACGGGUGCCAUGUGUACACGGAAUGACAGGUGGGACAACGUUGUGCCAGACAAAAUAUUACGGGUGCACAUUUGCGUGCUGGCACACGCGGGGGACGUGUAUAGAUUUCUAGAUGGGCCGCCCGUCCUAGCCCAGCACUAACCCGUCCUGGAUCGGCACUAAUAGGUCCGGGUACUAAUAGGCUCGAAGAGUUUUCGUGCCGGGCUAGGCUGGCACUGCGUGCUGAGGAGGUGGCCCAGACUUGGCCCGAUAGCCUUUCUAUCGGGUCAGGCUAGCCCGGUAGCUUGACGGGCCCUGCCGUGCUAGUGCCCGCCCGGCACUCGGCUCCAGGCACCCCCGGCGGGCAGCGGCGGCAGCCGCCCCCCCGCGGCGGCCCCCGACGGUGGCGGCUGGCUCCAGGCGGCCCCUGGCAGCGGCGAGCGGCUCCAGGCGGCCUCUGCGGCGGCCUCCGGCCGCUCCAGGCAGCACCCCGCGGUGCCCCCGACGGCGAGCGUGGCGGGCCUUGGCGGUUGCGAGCGGCUCCAGGCAUUCCCCGGAGGUGGCCGGCGGCUCCGGGCUCCAGGCAGCCCCCCGCAGCGCCUCCGGCGGCGGGCGUGGCUCACGGGAAGGAGGAGUGGUGGUGGAAGGGUCACGGUAGAGACCGAGAGAGGGUGGGAGGCCGCCGACUGCUCGCCUGGGUGUUGGGGGAGGGGAGGAGGGCAAUGAAUUAAGUUUUUUCCAUAUAUAUACUUGCGGGUUGCUAGCAGGCCAUCGAGCCUUAUCGGGCUGGCCAAAAAUCGUGACAAGCUCGUGCUGGCCCAACAUGUCGAGGAUGCGGCCCAGGCCCGACACUAUCAUCGUGCUGGACUGGCCUAGGCACUAUUCACCUCGUGCCGGACCCAUGCUCGUGCCGUGCUUUUUAGUGCUGGAUCUUGGGCUACCCAGUGGACCUGGCCCAUUUGGAGAUCUAUAGGGACGUGGUCGCGCCACCCCCAGUUGGGAUGCCGACGGCGCUAGCUGAGCCCGGCCACGAGGCAUCUAUCCAUCGGUGGCGCAAGAGAAGGUCGGCGCGGCGGACUGGCCUCCGGCCGCGCGCGCGGGGCAGCGCCUACACGAUCAGCGCGGAACUCAUGGUGCGAUGACGGGUGGGUCCGGUGCGGGCCACCGCUGGCGCUCCCGGACUUUGCGGCGUGACGCGCGUACACGGCACGAUCGACGCGCGCGAUGCCUGCUGGGAUCGGACGAUCGGCUGAUCCGGUUCGGACACACGGCCCCGGCUACGGCACGCACAUCAUAUAUAUCGGGGGCGCAUGCACGCGAGCAGAGAGAGCCUGGCGACGAGGUCGUCGAGAGAUCGCCAGGGAGAGCAUCAUAUCAGCAGCUACACGUACGUACGGGAAGUCGGGAACCAGGUCAGGUGGAUAUAUAACAACUUUGUUUGUUUCCCGAGCCAGGAUCGAUGCCAACCUACUAGCUGCAGGCUGCAGCUCAAAGGCAGCUGGCUUCUACCUAGACAUUACUACUCUUCGAGGUGUGAAGUCAUCACAAAUCACCAGAUCCUUCACCUAAUAAUCUAGUAUCCAAACACACUAGACGAUGUGAGAGCUCCACCCCCCUCACAUCUCAACAGCAAACACUGGCUUAUCUCAAAAGGGGAGGUAGAAGAGUAGUAAUGUCUAGGUAGAAGUAGCUAUAGGUCACGGGAGAAAAUAAUGUGGGGAUGUAACCGAAGACGAGAAAAUAACCUUCGAAUGCGUUUUCGGUCAAGAAAACGUGUGCUAUAGGUCACGGGAGCCCGAAAAUAACGACACCAUCCACCGGGGUCAAAAACGUGGAGGAUGGACUGAAAAUAUGAAAAUGGCCUCCAGACGCGUUUUCGGCUAUGAAAACAUGUGCCAUAGGUCAUGGGAGCCCGAAAAUGGCCACACCGGCCGCCGGGGCCUAUAACGUGGGGGGGGGGGGGGUGGGCCGAAGACGUGAAAAUAACCUCCUGACGCGUUUUCGGCCAUAAAAACAUGUGCUAUAGGUCACGGGAGCCCGAAAAUGGCCACACCGGCCAUCGGGGUAGAAGACGUGGGGGGUGGACCGAAGACGUGAAAAUAACAUCCGGACGCGUUUUCGGUCAUGAAAAUAUGUGCUAUACUAUAGGUCACGAGAGCUCGAGAACGGCCAUACAGGCUACCGGGGUAAAAAAUGUCAUGGACAGACCGAAGACACGAAAAUUGCCUCCGGAUGCGUGUUCGGCCAUAAAAACGUGUACUACAGGUCACGGGAGCCCGAAAAGGGCCACACCGGCCACCGAGGUCGAAAACGUCGGGGAUGGACCGAAGAUGUGAAAAUUACUUCCGAACGCGUGUUCGGCAAUGAAAACGUGUGCUAUAGGUCACGGGAACACGAAAGCAGCGACACCGGCCACCGGGGUCGAAAACAUGGGGGAUGGACCGAAAACGAGAAAAUAACCUCCGGACGCGUUUUCGGCCAAGAGAACAUGUGCUAUAGGUCACAGGAGCCCAAAAACAGCGACACUGGUCACCAGGGUCGAAAACGUGGGGAAUGGACCGACGACGUGAAAAUGGCCUUCGGACACGUUUUAGGCCAUGAAAACGUGUGCUAUAGGUCACGGGAGCCUGAAACGGCCAUACCGGCUGCCGAGGUUGAAAACGUGCGGGAUGGACCGAAGACGUGAAAAUAACCUCUGGACGCGUUUUCGGCUAUAAAAACGUGUGCUAUAGGUCACGGGAGCCCGGAAACGACCACACCGGCCACCGGGGUCGAAAAUGUGCGGGAUGGAUCGAAGACGUGAAAAUAACCUCCGGACGUGUUUCCGCCAUGAAAACAUGUGCUAUAGGUCACAGGAGCCUGGAAAUAGCCACAUAGGUCACCGGGGUCGAAAACGUGGUUGAUGGACAAAGACGUGAAAAUAACCUUCGGACGUGUUUUCGGCCAUGAAAAUAUGUGCUAUAGGUCACAGGAGCCCGAAAACAGCGACACCGACCACCGGGGUCGAAAAUGUGGGGGAUGGACUGAAGACGUGAAAAUGGCCUCCAGACCUAUUUUUGGUCAUGAAAAGUGUGCUAUAGGUCACGAGAGCCGAAAAACGGCCACAAUGGCCGCCGGAGUCGAAAACGCGGGGACUGGACCGAAGACGUGAAAAUAACCUCCGGACGUGUUUUCAGCCAUAAAAACAUGUGCUACAGGUCACGGGAGCCCGGAAACGGCCACACUGGCCACCGGGUCGAAAACGUGGGGAUGGACCGAAGAUGAUAAAAUAACCUCCAGACACGUUUUCAGCCAUAAAAACGUGUGCUAUAGGUCACGGGAGCCCGAAAAUAGCGACACCUGCCACCGGUGUUGAAGAUGUGGGGAUGGAUCGAAGAUGAGAAAAUAACCUCCGGACACGUUUUCGACCAAGAGAACAUGUGCUAUAGGUCACGGGAGCCUGAAAACAGCGACACCAGCCACCGGGGUCGAAAAUGUGGGGGAUGGAUCGAAGACGUGAAAAUGGCCUCCGGACGUGUUUUUGGCCAUGAAAACGUGUUCUAUAUGUCACGGGAGCCAGAAAAUGGCCACAACGGCCGCCGGGGUCGAAAACGUGGGGGGCGGAUCGAAGACGUGAAAAUAACCUCCGAACGUGUUUUCGGCCAUAAAAACAUGUGGUAUAGGUCACGGGAGCCCGGAAAUGGCCACCGGGGUCGAAAACGUGGGAAUGGACCGAAGAUGAUAAAAUAACCUCCGGACACGUUUUCGGCCAAAAAAACGUGUGCUAUAGGUCACGGGAGCUCGAAAACGGCGACACCAGCCACCGAGGUCGAAGACGUGGGGGAUGGACCGAAGAUGAGAAAAUAACCUCCGGACGCGUUUUCGACCAAGAGAACAUGUGCUAUAGGUCACGGGAGCCCGAAAACAGCGACACCGGCCACCGGGGUCGAAAAUGUGGGGGAUGGACCGAAGACGUGAAAAUGGCCUCCGGACAUGUUUUUGGCUAUGAAAACGUGUGCUAUAGGUUAUGAGAGACCGAAGACGUAAAAAUUGCCUCCGGGCGCGUGUUUGGUAUAAAAACGUGUGCUAUAGGUUAUAGGAGCCCAAAAACGGUCACACCGGCUACCGGGAUCGAAAACAUUUUGAGUGAACUGUUAAAUGGCCAAGCCGUAGCCAUGAGUGAACGGUUGAGCUGGCAGUGGAAGAAAUUUGCUUGGCGAGAUUCUACAGUGGUGCAAAACUGAAAUCAGUCGCUGCUCUCUAGAUAGUAGGAAAAGGCUGAAAAACUGAACCAUAAAUGACUGCAAUUCGUAUUCUCAUUUAACUUGUUUGGCUAGGAUUGUAAACUGUUUAUUAACAGACAAGUUCAGCUAAAGCCUAGAGCAAGCCUAGGUACCAGAUUGUCAAAUUACUUUAGACCCCGUUUGAAAUUUCACCAGGAUUUCUAUAGGAGUAUCUCAGGAAAAACAGAGGAACCCACGCGGAUAAGCUGAUUUUAUAGGACUUCUAUAGGAGUAUCUCAGUCCCACCUGCCGGUGUCUGUGCAUAACUAGAGGAGUGCCCUGUGCAAUUGCGAAGCUAGUAGCGAUAUAAGUGUGCAUGUACCACCGUAUCGUCCUAGUUUAUAGCAGGGGCAUGAGCAGAGGAGCCACGGUUGUUGGGUAUGCUCCGACCCCCUCUGUUGGCGACAUGAGCAGAGGAGCCGGAUGCAUCUUGGAGAUCAAGACGGGUCUCGAAGCUGAGCAGUUGAGAGUAGAGCUCAGGGAUCGAGAUUGCCUCAACUCUUGCGGUGACUGCCGGGUUGUACUCAGAGUUAAGGCUGUUGUAGAUGUGGGAGGCAAGUUCUUCAUUAUCCAUAGGCUUCCCAGCAACAAGCAUCUCAUCUGCAUAUUCUUUCAUCUUGACGAAAUAAUCAACAAUGAACAAGUUACCUUUCUUGGUAGUUGUAAGUGCAAAUCGCACAUUCAUUGUCCUGGCAUGGGUCUGGGCAGAGAACAUAGGCUCCACCUCAUCCCAUGCCUACAUCGCUGUCUUUGCAGCAACAACCUGGGCGAGGACUUCCUUCCCCAACGAUGAGAAGAUCAUCCCUAGGACCUGUUGGUCCCGGGCAUACCACUCAUACACCGGAUUUGGCAUAGCAACGACAGUGUUGUCAGCCUUCUUCUUGUUCUUCUCAACAACUGGAGCGAUGACCUUGCCGGUGACAUGGCCCUCCAUGUGCAUACUGCAUAUAGCGGUGAGCACCUGCACCUUUCAAAGCGCCUGUUUGAUCUUGGCGAGCUUCUCGGUGAUCUGGACGCCUAGCAAUGGGUUGGAGGCGCUUGAACUGGAUGCCAUGGAAUCAACCUUAAGCUCUGAUUACCACGUAAAGUUUUAUAGGUGCUAAGCAUGGGAGAAUGUCGUCCCUGGUCCUUGGAUGCGACAGUUGCGUGUUGAUUGAAGAUGUGCAAUUAUAGACACCUAGAGAUAUGCGUUGACGUCUAAGCAAACUAUACAAAAUCUCUUCAAUUCUGGUUACAACAAACUCUAUCUCCUUACAACAAACUCUAUCUCCUAGAUAGACUACAACACUGGCCAAAGCAUAUCUUGUGGUCUACGAGAACAGAUUACAAAACAUUAUAUCUCUAACACAGGGCACCGGAGAACAGAUUGUUCCGGAUCUGAAUCCGUGUCAUUUUGGGGGAUAUCACACAGGGCAGAGUGCCGGUGAAGCCGUUGUUCUGUAUCAUGACAAUGGUCAGCUUAGGGAUCGCCCACCAUACCUUCUCUGGGAACUCCCCGGUAAAGUUGUUGUCGUACGCCAUGAUGUUGUACAGUGUGUGGCAAUCCCCAAUGUUCGCCAGCAACACGCCGGAGAAGCUAUUGUUGAACACCGCGAGGAAGUACAGCUUCUUGUUGUAGCAGAGGGUGUCUGGGAGCUUGCCGGAGAGCAGGUUGUUGUGCACUUCCAGGAUGACGAGUGGCGAGUGCUUCCCGAGCUCCGGCGGGAGGGGUCCGGAGAGCAUGUUAUUGAAUAGCUGGAUCUCAAAGAGGUUGGGGAGCAGCCCGAUGCUCGGAGGAAUCGACCCGGUGAGGUUGUUUUGGUAUAAAAAGAGUAGUGUCAAGUUCUUCAUCUUGCCGAUCGCCUCCGGUAUCGUUCCGGUGAGCAAGUUCGCCGACAGGUCGAGCUCCUGCAAGUUGAAGCACGUGACCUCGGGCCCAAACCCACCGGUGAAGCUGUUCGAGUAAAGGUACAGGAUCUCAAGCUUCGGAAGCUUCCAAACCCACGCCGGGAUUUCACCGUGAAGCUUGUUGCUGUACAGAGCCAACGUGGUCAGCUCAGUGAGCGACGAGAGUUUGUCGGGGAUGCCACCAGUAAGGUUCAUCCCUGACAGCCAUAGCGUCUUCAGAUUGGUAAGUUUGUUGAACUCAUCAGGGAUCAGGCCUUGCGCGAAGGGAUUAUAUGCUAGAGUUAGCGUCCCGAGCUCGUUGAGCUCUGCAAUGGCCGAGGCCGGGUAUGUCCCGUUAGUUGAAGCUAUUAGUGUCAAGAACAAGGGACUUGAGCUUGGGGAAGACAACAAUUUCUGAUGGCACGCUUCCUGUGAAGCCAUUGGUCGACAGGUUGAGGUGCUCCAUCUCCGACGACAAUUUGUCGAUGUCGGCCGGGAGGGCACAGGAGAAGAGAUUGUUGGACAGGUCGAGGUAGCUCAGAGCCGAGCAGCCAUAGAGCACCGUCGGGAACUGGUCGGUGAGGUUGUUGUAGGAAUGUCUAGGUAGGACAGGUUCUUGAGGCUACAAAUGAAAGCUGGGAUCGGAUUGGUUAUGUUGGAAUUUGGAAAGGAGAGCUUGGUCACUCGGCCAUUGUUGCAGCUUACCCCUGCCUAGCUGCAGUAGGAAGAGUUCUUGGAAGUCCAUGAGCUGAGAGCAGAAGGGCUGCCCCAGGCUUUCUUGACAGUUAGGAGUGUCUCGUAGUCGCCGGAGUUGAUCUGCGCCAUGGAUGGCGAGCUGGAGAUGAAAGAGAGGAAGACUAGAAGGAGGAGAUAGGAGUGAACCAUUUCUGUCUGUGCUAGUGUUAGUGUGUGUGAGCUUCAGGCUCGGAUAUGGUGUGGUUCCUCAACAUGUGGACUUUUAUAAGAUGUGGCCAGUGGGCUUUUGGCGUGCGAAGAAUGGGAAAAGGAUUAACGACCCAGUCAAAGUCUUUGCGAUUGUGAGUGAAAGGUACUCUGAUUGAAAAAUUCGUUAUGAUGCACUAAUUUGGGGCCAAGAUCAUCAAUAGCUGAUAAGAGUGUAUCAAUUAUCAUCGUCCACACUGAUGACCAAGACUAGCCAUGACUUGAGGCUGAUGAACCAGGUCGCUCGUGAGAUCUGGGUGUGUGAGAACCAGGCGGUGACCGGGUGGGAAGGCGAUCUCAUGGAACACUGAGGAGCAAGGCUGGUCUGUCUACAGAUUAGAUAGAGGCUUUGUUUUCUUAGCUUCUUCUUUAUGUAGUAUCUAUAUAUGUACCACAGUCAGAAUCCAUCUGCCUUUUUCAUUUUUUUACCCUUUUUAUGAAAGAUUCUCACAACUACGCUCCUACCGGAAACAUUUCAAAAUCUGGAUCCUUAGCUUGGCGCCAUCCACGUUGACACCAAGCUUACACGUCUUGACGCCAAGGUCCAUGCGCAGCUGCUGACGCGAAUGCCGACAUGGCGAGGGCUUAGCGCCAGCCAUCGUGGCGCCAAGCUUGGCGCCGUGGAUCUUGGUGCCAAGCUUGGUACCGUAGAUCUUGGUGCCGAGCUGUUACCGUAUACAUGUUCGCGUUCGAAAUGAAACAAGUAUAAUUAUUCCGAGGAGCAUGCAAUAAACUACACUAUGGUUCAAUUGGUUAGGAUGUGAGCUUCUUAUCCCAAAGACUUAAGUUUGAACCCUAGCUCUAAUAUUCUUUUUUACUACAUUAAUUUUUUUCUCCCUCCCUCCACGACGAGCGUCUGCCCGAUCUCGUAGCCGUACGUGUCCAUGGCCUUGGCCAGCUCCUCCUCCACCGCCCGCGCCACGUCGUUCUUCUGCUCGAACACCUGGUCCAGGUUCAUGUUCGGCACGCUCGCCCAGAGAUCAUUUAGUUGCUCUCGGUACACAUCAUCCAUCACAAGAACACACGCAUACAGAAUGGAAAGAAAUCUUUGCUCAAUCAAUUGAUCGAUUACCGACCGUCGAAGACGUAGGACUGGAUCUGCUCCCGGGCGUCGCUGAGGCGGUAGAAGGCGUCGUAGGCCCUGUCGGCCAGGGUGCGGUACUGCACGGAGGCGACGACGGUGACGAAGACGUUGUCCUUGUUCUCGGUCUCGCAGCGGACGUCGAGGGAGAGGUAGCCGGAGGGCGGACGUCGAGCUGCUGGACGCGGAGGGAGAAAAAAAAUAAAAUGCAGUAAAAAAAAGAUUCAUAGCUGGGGUUCAAACCUAGGCCUUUGGGAUAAGAAGCUCAUGUCUUAACCAGCUGAACUGCAAUAUAGUUUGUUGCAUGUUUCUUGGAAUAAUUAUACUUGUUUCAUUUUGAACGGGAAUAGAUAUCGUGGCGCCAAGCUUGACACUAAGAUCCACGGCGCCAAGCUUGCGCCAAGCUUGGCACCACGAUGGCUGGCGCCAAGCCCCGUCAGCAGCUGCGCAUGGACCGGCGCCAAGGCUGGUGCCGAGACGUGUAAACUUGGUGCUAACAUGGAUGGCGCUAAGCUAAGGGUCCAGAUUUUGAAAUGGUUCCGCCAGAGAUCUAUUUGUGGUAAUCUUUCCAAAAAGUAAAAAAAAAUUAAAAAAGUCGGCAGAAUCCGUCCAGUUAGAAUCUAUACUUAUCUAGUAUAUAUAGCAGAUUGUGUGUAGAAACGAUUACUACCGUGUUGAAUCUCACAAUCUUCUUACUUGACAUGAUUCCCGACCAUUACUUGAUUCGGGUUCAGUAUACCCUGUCGACAAACAAUUAUAUUUAUGGGGGCCUGGAUAGCCGGGAAAGAAAAGAUAGCAGAAUCUAGAGGAAUUUGUGGAAGAAGACAGCAAGAACUCGAGAUAGAACACAUGGGAUUCCUAUACAAAGAAUAACAAAAUAUAGAUAAUACAAGCUUUAAAUGCUCUUCGCCAUAUUUGAAAAAGAAAUAUAAGUUAAACAAGCGCAAAUAUGUUGACAGAGCACGUUUUUGUCCCCGGUGACCGGUGUAGCUGUUUUUGCCUUCCAUGACCUGUUUUUGCCUUCCAUGACCUAUAGCACAUGUUUUCAUGGCCAAACACGUGUUCGGAGGCUAUUUUCACAUCUUCGAUCCAUCCCCAUGUUUUCAUCCCACGUGACCGGUGUUGCCGAUUUCGGAAUCCCACGACCUAUAGCACAUGUUUUCAUAGCCGAACAUGCAUCCAGAGGCUAUUUUCAAGUAUUCGGUGUGAAACCCACAAUUUCAUCCCCGGUUGCCUGUGUAGCUAUUUUUUGGCCUUCCAUGACCUAUAGCACUCGUUUUCAUGGCCAAACACGCAUCCGCAGGCCAUUUUCAAGUCUUCGAUCUAUCCCCACAUUUUCGUCCACGGUGGCCGGUGUGGCUAUUUUGGGGUCCCGCGACCUAUAACACACAUUCUCAUGGCUGAACACGCCUCCGGAGGCCAUUUUCACUUGUUCGUCCAACACCUACGUUUUCAUCCCCGGUCCCCGGUGUGGCCGUUUUGGAGCUCCCGUAACCUAUAACACACGUUUUCAUAGCCGAACACGCAUCUGGAGGCUAUGUUCAAGUUUUUGGUCUGACACCCACGAUUUCGUCCCCGGUUGCUGAUAUAGCCGUUUUUGGCCUUCCAUGACCUAUAUCACAUUUUUCAUGGCCAAACACGAGUCCGGAGGCCAUUUUCACAACUUCGAUCCACCCCCACAUUUUCAUCCCGGUGACCGGUGUCGCUGUUUUCAAUCUCCCGCGACCUAUAAAACACGUUUUAAUGGCCAAACACGUGUCUGUAAGCCAUUUUCACUUGUUCGGUCAAGCCCCUACAUUUUUGUCCUCGGUGUCUGGUAUGGCCCUUUUCAGGCUCUCGUGACCUAUAGCACACAUUUUCAUAGUCGAAAACGCGUCUGGAGGCCAUUUUCACUUAUUAGGUCUAGCCCCUACAUUUUCAUCCUCGGUGGCCGGUGUGGCCGUUUUCGGGCUCCCAUGAUAGCACAUGUUUUCAUGGCCGAAAACACGUCCGGACGCCAUUUUUACAUCUUCGGUCCAUCCCCCACGUUUUCGACCCCGGUGGCUGGUGUCGCUAUUUUCAGGCUCCCGUGACCUAUAACACACAUUUUCCUAGUCGAACAUGUGUUCGGAGGCAAUUUUCACUUGUUUGGUCCAACCACUACAUUUUAGUCCUUCGUGGCCGGUGUGGCUGUUUUCGCGUUCGCGUGACCUAUAGCACACGUUUUCAUGGCCAAAAACACAUUCGGAGGCCAUUUUCACUUGUUCGGUCUAGCCCCUACAUUUUAGUCCUCAGUGGCCGGUGUGGCUGUUUUUGGUCUCCCGUGAUAAACACAUGUUUUCAUGGUCGAAAAUGCGUUAGGUGGCCACUUUCACGUCUUUGGUCCAUCCCCCAUGUUUUCAACCCCGGUGGCCGGAGUCAUUGUUUUCGGGCUCCCGCGACCUAUAAAACACAUUUUCACGGCCGAACACGCGUCUGAAGGCCAUUUUCACUUGUUUGGUCUAGCCCCUAAAUUUUCGUCCUUGGUGGCCAGUGUGGCCGUUUUCGGGCUCCCAUGACCUAUAGCACACGUUUUCAUGGCCAAAAACGUGUGUGGAGGCCAUUUUCACAUAUUCGGUCCAUCCCCCAUGUUUUCAACCCCGGUGGCCGGUGUCACAAUUUUCAGGCUAUCAUGACCUAUAACACACGUUUUCUUAGCUGAACACACAAUCGAAGGCAAUUUUCACUUGUUCGGUCCAGCCCCUACAUUUUAAUCCUUGGUGUCCGGUGUGGCCGUUUUCAGGCUCCCAUGACAUAGCACACAUUUUCAUGACCGAAAACGCGUUCGGAGGCCAUUUUCACUUGUUCGGUCUAGCCCCUACAUUAUCAUCCUUGGUAGCCAGUGUGACUGUUUUUGGUUUCCCGUGACACACAUAUAGGUCACUGGAGCUCGAAAAUGGCCACAUCGGCCACCGGGGUCGAAAACGUGGGGAAUGGAUCGAAGAUAUGAAAAAGGCCUCCAAACGCGUUUUCGGCCAUGAAAACAUGUGCUAUAGGUCACGGGAACAUCGGCCACCGGGGUUAGAAACUUUGGGGAUGGACUGAAGACGUGAAAAUAACCUCCGGACACGUUUUCAGCCAUGAAAACGUGUGCUAUGUAGGACAUGGGAUCCCGACACCGGCUGCACCGGCCAACCAGGAUGAAAAUGUAGGGGGUAGACCGAACAAGUGAAAAUGGCUUUCGGACGCAUUUUCAGCCAUGAGAACGUGUGCUAUAGGCCACGGGAGCAUGAAAAUAGCCACAUCGGCCACCGAGGACUAAAAUGUAGGGGCUGGACCGAACAAGUGAAAAUGGUCUUCGGACACGUUUUCAGCCAUGAAAACAUGUGCUAUAGGUCACGAGAGCCCGAAAACGGCCAAACCGGCCACCGGGGUCAAAAAUGUGGGGGGUGGACUGGAGACGUGAAAAUAGCCUCUGGAUACGUUUUCAGCCAUGAAAACGUGUGCUAUAGGUCAUGGGAGCCCGAAAACGGCCACAACGGCCACUGGGGUCGAAAACGUGGGGGUUGGACCGAAGACGUGAAAAUAACCUCUGAACUCGUUUCUGGCCAUGAAAACGUGUGCUAUAGGUCACGACAGCCCGAAAAUGGCCACACCGGGCACCAGGGUCGAAAACAUGGGGGAUGGACCGAAGAUGUGAAAAUGGCCUGCGUACAUGUUUUCGGCCAUGAAAAUGUGUGCUAUAGGUCACGGGAGCCUGAAAACAGCCACAACGGCCACCACGGUAAAAAACAUGGGGGAUGGACUGAAGACGUGAAAAUAACCUCCAGACCCAUUUUCGCCCAUUAAAACGUGUGCUAUAGGUGAUGGGAGCCCCAAAAUGGCCACACUGGCAAACGGCUCGAAAAUGUGGGGGAUGGACCGAAUACGUGAAAAUAACUUCUAGACCCGAAAGUGAUGUACUCCUAGGUCAUCAUCGGGGUGAGGCUGGAGAACCAUCUAUGAUCACCGGUUAUGUGUCGAGAGCAACCGGAAUCAAUGAGCCACGUGUUCUCCAGGCCUCCGACCUCAGUUUCCAUGUUAGAGUCGCUCUCCCUGUCAUCCUUCUUGUUGUUGGCAUUGAGGGCCAUGACGCAGUACCCAUCGCGGUUCUUGCCGAAGUAGAAGCAGAGGCCGUUGAAGUUCUUGCCGUCCUUCUUCUUCGCCUUGCAGUCAUCGUCCUCCUCACUUGAGGUUGAGUUGGAGUGGUCAUCUAUGUCAGAGUCAACGUUGCUGAGGGAGGCGAUGAAGGAGUGCGCUUUGGCCUUCUUGCAAUUCUCCUUCUUCUCAUGAUCGGUGUACUUCUUCUUCUUCUUGGUGUCAUCCUUAUUCUUGUGCUUGUUGUAGUCGUACCCGUUCUUGGACUUGUUCUUGUCAGGGCAGUUGGCGUGAAGUGUCUUGGCUUCCCACAGUCGAAGCAGGUGUUGUUGUUCCCUCGCCUGUUCUUGCGGUUGUCGUUGAAGCGCAUGAAUCGCCGAGUGAUCAAGGCGAGCUCAUCAUCAUCAAGAAUCUCCAGCUGCUCCUCGGACACUGAAACCAAAGAAGACAAGGCAAAUGACAUAGAAGAAGAGCUACCCAAAGACUUAUGCUGUCCAGAGCCUGACAUGAGAGCUAUACUAUUUGGAUCAGUAGGGCUCCCUUAUUUAGCUUGGAGCCUCUUGUCAACCUCUGUGGAUUUCAACUUAGCAAAGAGCUCUUCGGUAGAAACUGUCGCAUAAUUUGGUGACUCGAUGGUAGCAUCAACCUUCGUGCCCCACACAUCAUGAUCCAAAGCAUGCAGGAGCUUUAAAGCUCUAUCAUGAUUAGUGUAGGGUAGGACAGUGAUAUUUGCUUUCAUCUUGUUCACAAUAGCCAACAAAUGCUGAAACAAAGCAUCGGCAGACUCUCCAGGAAGAUGAACAAAGUUCUCAUACUCACGCUUGUAGGUCUCAAAGAGCCUAGCCUUUACCUUACUGUUUCCCUCAUGGAAACUCUGAAAUCGGGACCAAAUCUCAUGAGCAAGAAUGAGAUCCUCGACUCGGUCAAACUCAGCACGGCAAAGACUCACAAACAAAAUAUCAACUGCCUUGUUGUUGGCAUGAUACUUAUCCCUAUCAUCUUGAGAAACACGAGCAGCAGAAAUUAGAUAAUUCACAUCCUGAGUGAUUUUCCAAACCCCUACUCCCUUACUAUUAAGGUGGGCUUUCAUGUGAGUUUUCCAGUAUCUAUAGUCAGUCCCAUCAAAGUAACGUGCAGCGGUCGAGGGAGAACGCUAGAGGUCGCCAUCUUAGGUUUUGAAACCGAUUAGCGUAUUGAGAAACCUUAAAUAGCUCUGAUACCAAUUGAAGAAUCGAAACGGGCGACCAUAUGUUCGGGGGGUGAAUGGGAGCCUCAAAUAUAUCUUUCAAAAUCUUAGGCCUCUGUCCCAAAUUUAAACCCCAUGUCCAAGCAAAUGGAAGAUGAGAGAUCCACAAGCCAACUGGGUGGCUGGGUGCCUUUGAUAGGAACCAAAAGGCAUAGCGGGACUCUUGAGAAACAACUGGAAGCAAACUUCAAAGAUUUGAGACAAAACAGAGCUCAAACACCUUUGUCGGAACUUCCGAUACUCUAUCGGAACUUCCGAUACCUAUCGGAGGUACCGGGGAACUCCCGACAGAGAUUUUCGGCCGUUUCAGCAAUUAACCCAUCAGAACUUCCGACACAGUAUCGAAACUUCCCACCCUUCGGAAGUUUCCGUUGGACCUUCCGACAACAUAGAAAUCAACCUUCAUAAAGAGAGAAGAAAAAUCCGAAAGUUGAUCAAACGACCUUCCAAAAUUACAAAAUUUUAUUCAUAGCUUCCUAAUAACAUAACAAACAUAUUCCCAAAAGAUCUCCUCAAAACGAUUAGCCAAUCAAAGAGAAUUAAAUAUCUUAUGAAGAACGCUGCUUUUUCAACCCUACAACUUGAUUCGCCUCGAUCUAUGAACUCGUGAGGAGUUAGAUGAAUUCAUUUGGUGGAAAGGCUUCACUCACAUCCUAGUUCAUUUCCAAACAAUCGGUUUGAGUCAAGACUCCCCAAAAAUCACGAAUUGAACAAAAACAUGAGAAGGGAAAAGCGAGUGAAAACAAGAACGCGAAGAACAUAAGAGAUUUGCAAAAAACCGUCAUCCUCCAAUGCAACGAGGACACGAGGAGGUUAGGGACUCCAUUCCCACAACAAGACGCGGUUCAAUACAAAGAUUCGAUGCUCAAAACAUCUGAGGACCUCUCAAGUGGUUAGACCUUAAACUAGUGCUAACCUAGAGAUAGAUGGUGCUUAGAGAAGUGCUCAAGAGAUAAUGAAAGAGGUGUUGAAAACAACCAGCCCCCCUCUCUAUUUAUAGGCCUAACCUAGUUACUAAACUACCCCUACAACUUAAGACUAAGAUAACUACCCGCGUAGGGGCAUUUUGGUCCAUCUAUGUGUUCGGUCGAUCAGACGGCCACACUUCCUGCACAGACUUGCUACGCUUCGACGCAACGUUUGUGAUUCUACCAUGUGCCUCCUCAUUCCUCAUCGGAACCUCCGCGCGGGUUUUGCGGCUCAAACCCGGAAACCAUCCGCUAGUGGUUUUGUAGCCCAAACCACUAAACCCGCUCCUCGACAUGUGUCACCGCUGUCCUCGACCGCUCGACUGCCCGACCGCCAAGUCUUCUAGCGCCUUCGCUCGACUUGCACGUCCUCCGUCUUGACUUGGUCAACACGGUCACUCCUUCAUGUACACUUGCACUUGUCGAUGUCCCAAGGUGUCAGCCACCGCGGGUGAUCCUCCGGCGCUCUGGUCCCUUAGUCCAAGCCUCACGUCCGUCCUUCACCGUUCCCGGUCCAUCGGCACAGCCCUCUCUACUUGACAUUCACCUCGCCAUUGAUCACCGCCUCCGAGCUCAAACACCUCCGUAUCACAAACAAAGAGCACAUCAAACCAAUACAAUGUUGUCAACCACUCAUCAUCCAAGGGUGACCACCAUUGGUCCUCAAAAUGUGUGAUAUAGAUCACGGGAGCCCAAAAACGGCCACACGGGCCACCAGGGUUGAAAACGUGGGGGAUGGAUCCAAGACGUGAAAAUAACCUCCGGACGCAUAUUAAGCCAUGAAAAUGUGUGCUAUAGGUCAUGGGAGUUCAAAAGCAGCGACACCAGCCACUGGGGUCACAAACGUGGGGGACGGACUGAAGAUAUGAAAAUGACCUCUAGACACAUUUUUUAUCAUGAAAACGUGUGCUAUAGGUCACGAGAGCCCGAAAAUAGCCACACCGGCCACCGGGGUAAGAAACGUGGGGGAUGGAUCCAAGACGAGAAAAUAACCUCCGGAUGCAUUUUCAGCAAUGAAAACAUGUGCCCGAAAAUAGCGACACCGGCCACUAGGGUCUCAAACGUGGGGGAUGGACCGAAGACGUGAAAAUAGUCUCCGAACACGUUUUUGGCCAUGAAAACAUGUGCUAUUGGUCAUGUGAGCUUGAAAAUGGCCACACCGGCCACCGAGGUCAAAAACGUGAGGGUUGGAUUGAAGACGUGAAAAUAACCUCCAAACCCGUUUCCGGUCAUGAAAACGUGUGUUAUAGGUCACAGAAGCCCGCAAAUGGCCACACCAGGCACCAGGGUCGAAAACAUGUGGGAUGGACCGAAGAUGUGAAAAUGGCCUCCAUACAUAUUUUUGGCCAUGAAAACAUGUGCUAUAGGUCGCGGGAGUCCGAAAACGGCCACACCAGCAACCGAGUCGAAAACGUGGGGGAUGGACCGAAUACGUGAAAAUAACCUCCAGACCUAUUUUUGCCCAUGAAAACGUGUGCUAUAGGUCGCGGGAGCACGAAAAUAGCGAUACCGGCCACCGGGGUCAAAAACGUGAGGGAUGGACCGAAGAUGUGAAAAAAUGCCUCCGGACGCGUAUUUGGCCACGAAAACGUGUUCUAUAGGUCACGGGAGCUUGAAAACGUCCACACUGGCCACCGGGGUGGAAAACAUAGGGAAUGGUUUGAAGAUGUGAAAAUGGCCUCCGGACACGUUUUUGAGCAUGAAAACGGCCACACUGGCCACCAGGGUUGAAAACGUGGGGGAUGGAUCCAAGACCUGAAAAUAACCACCGGACGCGUAUUAAGCCCUAAAAAUGUGUUCUAUAGGUCAUAGGAGUUUGAAAACAUCGACGCCAGCCACCAUGGCCACAAACGUGGGGGAUGAAUCGAAGACGUGAAAAUGGCCUCCAAACACGUUUUCGACCAUGAAAACAUGUGCUGUCAUGAGAGCCCGAAAACAGCCACACCGGCCAUCGAGGUAAAAAAUGUGGGGAAUGGAUCCAAGACAUGAAAAUAACAUCCGGACCCGUGAGUUAUAGGUCACGGGAGCCGAAAAACGGCCACACCGGCCAUCGGGGUCGAAAACGUGGGGGAUAGACCGAAGACGUGAAAAUAACAUCCAAACCCGUUUUCGGCCAUGAAAACGUGUGCUAUAGGUCACGGUUAGCUCGAAAAUAGUGAUACCGGCCACCGGAGUCAAAAACGUGGGGGAUGGACCAAAGACGUGAAAAUGGCCUCCGGACGCGUUUUCGGCCAUGAAAUCGUGUGCUAUAGGUCACGGGAGCUCGAAAACGGCCACACCGGACACGGGGGUCGAAAACAUGGGGGACAGACGGAAGACGUGAAAAUAACCUCUGGACCCAUUUUCGACCAUGAAAACAUGUGCUAUAGGUCACGGUUAGCUCGAAAAAAGCGAUACCGACCACCGUGGUUGAAAACGUGGGGGAUGGAUCGAAGACGUGAAAAUGGCCUCCGGACGCGUUUUUAGCCAUGAAAUCGUGUGCUAUAGGUCACGGGAGCCCGAAAAUAACGAGAUCGGCCACCAGGCUAAAAAAUGUGGGGGACGAACUGAAGACGUGAAAAUACCCUCCGGACCCGUUGUGGUCCAUGAAAACGUGUGUUAUAGGUCGCGGUUAGAACAAAAAAAGUUAUACUGGCCACCGGGGUCAAAAAUGUGGGGUUGGACUGAAGCCGUGAAAAUGGCCUACGGUCGCGUACGAAAACGUGUGUUAUAGGUCACGGGAGCCCAAAAAUGGCCACACCGGACACCGGGGUCGAAGAUGGACCGAAGAAGUGAAAAUGACUUCGGACGCGUUUUCGGCCAUGAAAUCGUGUGCUAUAGGUUUUGGUUAGCAAGAAAACAGCGACACCGGCCACCGUGGUCGAAAACGUGGGGGAAGGAUCGAAGACGUGAAAAUAUCCUCCGGACACGUUUUCAGCCAUGAAAUCGUGUGCUAUAGGUCACGGUUAGCCCGAAAGCAGCGAUACCGGCCACCGUGGUCAAAUACGUGGGCGAUGGACCAAAGACAUGAAAAUGGCCUCCGAAUGCGUUUGCAGCCAUGAAAUCGUGUGCUAUAAGUCAUGGUUAGCCUGAAAAUAGCAAUACCGGCCACCGGGGUCGAAAAUGCAGGGGAUAGAUCGAAGACGUGAAAAUGGCCUCCGAACGUGUUUUCGACCAUGAAAUCAUGUGUUAUAGGUCAAGGUUAGCUGAAAAAUGGCGAUACCAGCCACCGUGGUCGAAAAUGUGGGGGAUGGACCGAAGACAUGAAAAUAGCCUCCGGAUGAGUUUUCGGCCAUGAAAUCAUGUGCUAUAGGUCACGGGAGCCUGAAAACGACCACACCGGACAUGGGGGUCGAAAAUAUGGGGGAUGGACCGAAGACGUGAAAAUAACCUCUGAACCUAUUUUCGGCCAUGAAAACGUGUGCUAUAGGUCGCGGUUAGCCCGAAAUCAGCAAUACCGACCACCGUGGUCGAAAACGUGGGGGAUGGACCGAAGACGUGAAAAUGGCCUCCGGACACGUUGCCAUGAAAUCGUGUGCCAUAGUUCACGGGAGCUCGAAAAUGGCCACACCGGACUUUGGGGUCCAGGAUGGACCGAAGACGUGAAAGUAACCUCCGGACCCGUUUUCAGCCAUGAAAACGUGUGCUAUAGGUCACGAGAGCCUGAAAAUAAUGAGACCACCCACCGGGCUCGAAAACGUGGGGGAUGGACCGAAGACAAGAAAAUACCCUCCGGACCUGUUUUGGUCAUGAAAACGUGUGUUAAAGGUCUCGGUUAGCCUGAAAACAGUGAUACCACCUACCGGGGUCAAAAAUGUGGGGUUGGACCGAAGCCAUGAAAAAUGGCCUCCGGACAUAUUUUCGGUAAUGAAAACGUGUGCUAUAGGUUACAGGAGCCCAAAAACGGCCACACCGGACACCGGGGUCGAAGAUGGAUCAAAGACAUGAAAAAGCCUCCAAACACGUUUUCAGCCAUGAAAUCAUGUGCUAUAGGUCACGGUAGCCCGAAAACAGUCACACUGGACACGGGGGGUAAAAAACGUGGGGAAUGGACCGAAGAGGUGAAAAUAACAUCCAAACCCAUUUUCGGCCACGAAAACGUGUGCUAUAGGUCACGGUUAGCCCGAAAACAGCGAUACCGGCCACCGGGGUCGAAAACGUGGGGAUGGAUCGAAGACGUGAAAAAGGCCUCUGGACCCAUUUUUGGUCAUGAAAACGUGUGCUAUAGGUCACGGGAGCUCGAAAAUGGCCACACCGACCACCAGGGUCAAAAAUGUGAAAAUGGCCUCCGGACGCGUCCUCAGCAAUGAAAACUUGUGCUAUAGGUCACGGGAGACCGAAAAGGGCCACAACGACUACCGAGGUCGAAAAUGUGGGGUAUGGACUGAAGAUGUGAAAAUGGCCUCCGGACACGUUUUCAGCCAUGAAAUCGUGUGCUGUAGGUCACAUUAGCCUGAAAACCUGGGGAUGGUCCGAAGAUGUGAAAAUGGCCUCCAGACAUGUUUUUGGCUAUGAAAUCAUGUGCUAUAGGUCACGGUUAGCCCAAAAAUAGCGAUACCGACCACCGUAGCCGAAACGUGGGGGAUUGACCGAAGACGUGAAAAUGUCCUCCAGACACAUUUUCAGCCAUGAAAUCGUGUGCUAUAGGUCACGGUUAGCCCGAAAACAGCGAUACUAGUCACCGUGGUUGAAAAUGUAGGGAUGGACGGAAGACGUGAAAACGGCCUCCGGACGCGUUUUCAGCCAUGAAAUCGUGUGCAAUGUCACGGGAGCCCAAAAAUGGCAACACCGUCCACCAGGGUCGAAAUCGUGGGGGAUGGAUCGAAGACGUGAAAAUGGCCUUUCGACGCAUUUUCGGCCAUGAAAUCGUGGGCUAUAGGUCAUAGUUAGCCCAAAAUUGGCGAUACCGGUCACCGUGGUCGAAAACGUAGGGAUGGACUCAAGACGUGAAAAUGACCUCCGGACGCGUUUUUGGCCAUGAAAUCGUGUGCUAUAGGUCAGGGGAGCCCGAAAAUGGCCACACUGGACACCGGGGUCCAGGAUGGACCGAAGACGUGAAAAUAACCUCCGGACCCGUUUUCAGCCAUGAAAACGUGUGCUAUAGGUCACGGGAGCCCGAAAAUAAGGAAACCGGCCACUGGGGUCGAAACAUGGGGGACGGACCGAACACGUGAAAAUACCCUCCAGACCCGUUUUGGUCCAUGAAAAUGUGUGCUAUAGGUCACGGUUAGCUCGAAAAUAGCGAUACCGCCCACCGUGGUUGAAAACAUUAGGGAUGGACCGAAGAUGUGAAAAUGGCCUCCGGACGCAUUUUUUGGCAUGAAAUCCUGUGCUAUAGGUCACGGGAGCUCGAAGACGUCCACACCGGACACCAGGGUCCAAGAUGGACCGAAGACGUGAAGAUAACCUCUGGACCCGUUUUCAGCCAUGAAAACGUGUGCUAUAGGUCACGGGAGCCCAAAAAUAACGAGACCGGCCGCCGGGCUCGAAAACAUGGGGGACGGACCGAAGACGUGAAAAUACCCUCCAGACCCGUUUUGGUCCAUGAAAACGUGUGUUAUAGGUCACGGUUAGCCCAAAAAAAGUUAUAUCAGCCACUGUGGUAAAAAAUGUGGGGGACGGACCGAAGAUAUGAAAACAUGGGGGAUGGACCGAAGUUGUGAAAAUACCCUCCGGAUGUGUUUUCGGCCAUGAAAUCGUGUGCUAUAGGUCACGUUUAGCAAUAAAAUGGUAACACCGACCAUCAUGGUCGAAAACGUGGGGGAAGGAUCGAAGACGUGAAAAUAUCCUCCGGACGCGUUUUCGGCCAUGAAAUCAUGUGCUAUAAGUCACGGUUAGCCUGAAAACGGUGAUACUGGCCACCAUGGUCAAAAACAUGGGCAAUGGACCGAAGACAUAAAAAUGGCCUCCGAACACGUUUUCAGCCAUGAAAUCGUGUGCUAUAGGUUACGGUUAGCCUGAAAACAGCGAUACCGGCCACCAGGGUCGAAAAUCCGGGGGAUGGACCGAAGACGUGAAAAUGGCCUCCGGAUGCGUUUUCGGCCAUGAAAUCUUGUGCUAGAUGUCACGAGAGCCCGAAAACGGCCACACCGGACAAGGGGGUCAAAAACGUGGUGGAUGGACUGAUAACAUGAAAAUAACCUUCGGACUCAUUUUCGCUUGGAAACGUGAGCUGUAGGCCACGGUUAGCCCGAAAACAACGAUACCGGCCACCGGGGUAAAAAAUGUGGGGGAUGGAGCCCAAGACGUGAAAAUGGCCCACGGACGCAUUUUCGGCAAUGAAAACGUGUGCUAUAAGUCACGGGAGCGCGAAAACUGCAACACCGGCAACCGGGGUUGAAAACGUGGGACUGGACCGAAGACGUGAAAAUAACCUCCAAAUACAUUUUCAGUCAUGAAAACGUGCGCUAUAGGUCACGGGAGCACGAAAACGGCCACACCGGCCAUCGGGGUCAAAAACGUGGGGGAUGGACCGAAAACGUGAAAAAGACCUCCGGACGCGUUUUUGGUCAUGAAAACGUGUGCUAUAGGUCACGGGAGCCCAAAACGGCCACACCUUCCACCGGGGUCGAAAACGUGGGGGAUGGACCGAAGACGUGAAAAUAACCUCCAGAUCCGUUUUGGCCAUGAAAACAUGUGCAAUAGGUCACGGGAGCUCGAAAACGGCCACACCGGACACGGGGGUUCGAAAACAUGGGGAUGGACCGAAGACGUGAAAAUGUUCUCCUGACGCAUUUUCGGCCAUGAAAUCGUGUGCAAUAGGUUACGGUUAGCCCGAAGACAGCAAUACCGGCCACUGUGGUCAAAAUUGUGGGGAUGGACCGAACACGUGAAAAUGGUCUCUGGACGCAUUUUGAGCCAUGAAAUCGUGUGCUAGAUCACGGUUAGCCCAAAAACGGUGAUACCGGCCACAGGGGUCGAAAACCUGGGGAUGGACCGAAGACGUGAAAAUAACCUCCGAACCCGUUUUCGAUCAUGAAAACGUGUGCUAUAGGUCACGGGAGCCUGAAAAAGGCCAUAUCGGAUACGGGGGAUGAAAACAAGGGGGAUGGACCUAAGAUAUGAAAAUGGCCUCCGGACUUGUUUUCGGCCAUGAAAUCGUGUGCUAUUGGUCAUGGUAGCUUGAAAACGGCCACAUCGGACACGGGGGUCAAAAAUGUGGGGGACGGACCGAAGACGUGAAAAUGGUCUCCGUACGCGUUUUCGGCCAUGAAAUCGUGUGCCGGUUAGCCCAAAAACAACUAUACCGGCCACCAUGGUCGAAAUCAUGGCGGAUGGACCGAAGACGUCAAAAUGGCGUCCGGACGCGUUUUCGGCCAUGCAAUCGUGUGCUAUAGGUCAUGGUAGCCCGAAAACGGCCACACCGGACAUGGGGUUCAAAAAGUUGGGGGAUGGACCGAAGACGUGAAAAUAACAUCCGGAUCCGUUUUCAGCCAUGAAAGCUUGUGAUAUAUAGGUCACGGUUAGCCUGAAAACAGCGAUGUCGGCCACCGGGGUCGAAAACGUGGGGGAUGGACCGAAGACAUGAAAAAGACCUCCGGACCCAUUUUCGGUCAUGAAAACAUGUGCUAUUGGUCACGGGAGCCCGAAAAUGGCCACACCUACCUCCGGGGUUGGAAAUGUGAAAAUGGCCUCCGAACGUGUUUUCGGCCAUGAAAACGUGUGUUAUAGGUCACGGGAGCCCGAAAACGGCCACACCGUCCACCGGAGCCGAAAAUGUGGGGGAUGGACCGAAGAUGUGAAAAUGGCCUCCAGACGCGUUUUCGGCAAUGAAAUCGUGUGCUAUAGGUCAUAGUAGCCCAAAAAGGGCCACAUCGGACACGGGUGUCGAAAACUUGGGGGAUGGUCCGAACACGUGAAAAUGGCCUCCGGACGCGUUUUCGGCCAUAAAAUCAUGUGCUAUAGGUCACGGUUAGCGCGAAAACAGCGAUACCAGCCACUGUGACAGAAAACGUGGGGGAUGAACCGAAAAUGUGAAAAAUAUCCUCCAGACGCGUUUUCAACCAUGAAAUUGUGUGCUAUAGGUCACGGUAAGCGCGAAAACAGCGAUACAUGCCACCGUGGUCGAAAACGUGGGGAUGGACCAAAGAUGUGAAAGCGGCCUGUGGACGCGUUUUCGACCAUGGAAUCGUGUGCUAUAGGUCAUGGGAGCUCAAAAAUGGCCACACCAGCCAUCGGGUUCGAAAUCAUGGGGGAUGGACCGAAGACGUGAAAAUGGCGUUCAGACAUGUUUUCGACCAUGAAAUCAUGUGCUAUAGGUCUAUUGACGUCGGUUUUUAACACAUGUCGGAGUCAGCGUCAAGAGAAGACAGGACAGCCGAUGCGGUAACGAAGAAGGCAACAGGUAGUGUAUCGGCCGAUGAGGAUACAGUGGCAUGGCCGAUCGGCCGAUGAGGAUAAUAGGGUUUGGCCGAUGGGGAGCAAGAGUAGCUUUGCAGAUGCGUGGAAGUGGGCCUGAAUGGGCCAAGGUGGUUGCAAAGGAGAAAGAGAUAAGAUUGGGCUUGAGGAUGUUUAGAUUGUAUCCAACUCAUGGCAGGUCAAGUUUGUAUAUAUAGAUUUGUUUCUUUAAAUUAGAGAUAGAGUAUCGAGUCGUAAUCGACUAGGAGUCGUGUUGUCAAAGGGUAUAAAUAGGGGCCUUGUGAGGCUUGUAAAGAUACACACAUCAAAUCAAUACAAAUCUACUAUUUCACGCAAUUUACUUUCAAGUCGGCGACUUCGCCAAUCCUUUUCCUUUUCACGAGUUCGUGCGAGUUGGCAGGACUGCAUCAACUUAAUCUCCGCCAAUUUGUAAGUUCCGCAUUUCGAAUAAUAUGUAGGCUUUGACUUCGAGCGCAUCGUUGUCGUCUCGUUUAGAUUUAUUCAGAGUUAUCGAUACUUGCUAAAAUUACAGGUUCUUACUUGUCUUUUUAGCUUUUAUCACCGGUUAUCCGGAUUGAGGCACGUGUAAUCGGCUAUUUGUCUUGUUUUCCUUUAUCUGCCUGUCACCAUACAACCGAUUUGAUCUGUUUCAAGUGUUGUUUUUGUAGCACUAUUUAGGUUAUGCUAAUCGUUUCCUUUGCAUCUGUUACAUGAUUAUCAGUUGUUCUUAGCCGAUCGUCCUUACUCUCUAUCGGCCAUCCAGCUGAUACAACCUUUAGAGCAGAUCGGAAUCCCAGCCGAUCGGCUCUCUAAAUUUAACGUUCAUCUUUUCCUUGUCAAUCAACAGGUCAGAUUGACUGGCACGCCGCACAAACCGCACCAGGGCGACACCCGAAUAGGAGCUAAGCAGAUUCUCCCGGGUCAUGUGUCCGACGUGUGAGUUGGGCUUCUGGUCCAAUUUUCGCGUCAACACACUUUUGGCACGCCCAGUGGGACCAAGAACAACAACUCAACAUGUCUUCUUCAAAGGCUGCCGAAGUCUCGAAAGACAAUGUCAUUGAUGUCUCCGAGGUAGAUCUCAAGGAUGUCCAGAGGGAUGAAGUGGCAAAGGCUAUGAAAGAAUUCAAGAAGAUGUGCUUAAAAUCCUUUAGCUACACCAGAAAUGGGGAACCCAUCAAGAAGUGCCCCCUUCCAACCCCUCAUCAGAUCACCAUCGCUGAGGACUCGGGGAAGAUGUCUGAGAUGAUCCAGCAGUUUGUUUGUCGGGCGCUGGUUGACCAGUCCGCAAUGAUGACCAACACCGUGUACAACAUCAUCAUCAGUUCGAUGGCCAAUGGUACCGCGCAGGGGUUUUGUGGACCAGCCUACGCAGCCCCAGUCUACGCGCCGGUCGGAAGCUCUUCAUCGGCACCCAACAUGUCCCAAUCAGCUUCUCGGCCCAUACAAACGCAAAGUGGAGCAUACGGCAUGGUGCUACCCCCAAAUGCUACUGUGGCGCCACCUUCACCAACUCAAUCGGCGUCCCAGUCUGCGCCGAUGUACCCCAUGCCAUCACCAAUGAUGACAUCAGCACCAUGGGGGGCAACAGGGAUUCCCACUAAGUGGAAUCUGUCCAGUGGUUAUGGGACGCCUCCGGUAUCGUUCGCUCCAGUUAUAAGGCAUCCUGUGCAAGUACUAAUACCAUCGACUCUUCAACCGACGGCUCAAUACUACCAGCCAUCUUCGUCGGAGCGUGGCGAGGGGCAAACGCUCCAGAUCCCUAUACCGGUAGGUCGUCAACUGUGAUAUAUGAUGAUGUAGCUGGCACCUUGCGGCACGAGGAGCCACCUCAGUAGCCGACAUCGACUCAUAAACAUGUGCCCCAGCCGUACCCCCUGCAGCAGACAUUGGCCAUCUAGCCGAUCGUCCUACCACAGACGUAGCAGCUUCUUCGUACUCCUCACUAGGUCGAAGAAAAUCUUUUCUUGCCCAACUUCAACAUAGCGACCACGAAUGGAUUGGGCAGACAGUCUAUCUGGGCAGAGAAUAAAUCCAAACAUGUGUCCUGAAAAAUAGACAAAUGUUAAAGAACUCCAUACAUACAAAUUGGGAAAAGCAAUAAACUUGCAAAGCCAAUCCAAAAUCUGCAAAAUGGUGAAUCAUGGAAGAUUACCUCAUCUGCAGUGAAUCUGAAGCCUUUUCUUGUGGUGCUGUUUCUGGAACUGUCACAAUUUCACACCUCUCUUCGAGUGACACAUUAGCUGUCUGGAUUUCAGCAUCUGUAGCACUAAACUAGAUUUUGCAGGAGGCGUUAACUUGGACUCCUUUGCUGAAUGGCUAACCAGCAGCUGAAGUUCUAGUACCUUUUGAGCUGGUGUUUGUAGGUAGCACUAGCUGUAUAUACAGUAUAUAUCUAGAGUGUUAGUCCUGAUGUAAAAACUGCCACUCUUCCUUUUUCUUCGUAGUGCAUUCGACAUGCUAGUACCGUAUCUGAACUGCAGGUGGCUAACCUGAUGAAUAUUCCUGUUGGCCUCCCUUUCCUGGAACUGAAACAUGAUGACCAGCAAAGCCAGGUUAGGCUCAUCUGAUCUACCAGUGUGAUGGUUGUGCCGGUGGUGCUGUCUAGGACUGCAGGAGGGUGUCCUGCAGGGGGUGGACAGGACACACUCCUGCAGGGGAUUGAGCAUUUAGGUAAUUACUUCUGGUCUUCAACCUGCUGGCUGCUCCAAUGGAGAAUGAUUGACAGGGCUCAGUUAUCUGAGUUUCUCAUGUUGAGGACUGAUUCCAUGGUCUCUCGCAGGAGAUCCUACUGUGCCAUGCUCCAGUGGCGAUAUUUGUAGCUGUCUGGAUUGCACGAGAUGAUGAUAUCUGUUCACCAACUGUUGUGUUUGCCCCCAUCCUUCACAGUUUGCUUAUGCAUUGUGCAGGUAUCGCCGCGGCACGUGAAGAAAUCCAGCCUUGGAAGGACAAUUUGCACGGGUUUUAUGCCAACCUGACCAAAAUUUUCAUGAAUUUUGAAGCAAUUUGGUUCUCGUUGAUUCGUCCAUAGAAAUAAAUUUGCCAAGAGGAAUAAACUUGCAGUUGCAAGCUGCACCUGUUUCUCAGACUCUUCAACUGCCAAGAGAUCACACCAAAUCCCACCCAACUGGCCAAAAGAAAUUCACAACCCCAGCCAGGGCAAGCAUUUCGUCAGAAUAACACGGAGAAAGAUACAUCCGUUAGCAGGCAGGAUUAAUCUCAGCCGGCCUCUAGCAUCUUGGGAACAGCAUGUAAAAGAAAGACGAUGCUCGUAUAGGAAGAAAACACAGGACAGCUACAACUGCAGCAAAGCAACCGGUCUGUCCACACCAGCCAAACAAGAUGACACACCAUCGGUGAUCUCUCCAGUUCAUAGCAUUACUUGAUGCUGUCUGUGAUGAGAUCCCAGUCCUUUUGCACUGCAACCAGACCAAAGACGCCGUCACCACCAAACAGAAUUGGGGCAAAACAUCACACUCACACCCACACAUGCAGCUGGCACUGGCAGCAUGUAUAGUGCAGUACCUUGAUCUCAAUCAGAGAAAACCCCUCCUUGGCUGGACACACCUGAACCCAAUGGAUUGUUGGGUUCCUGAUUAGCAAGUCUCUCACUUGUACCUGGCACGGACAACUUGCUAGCAGGGAGAAGAAGCAGAGGAGGUGGUGGCUGUGGAGCUAGCAGAUGUGGACAGUGACCGAUGAUGCGGCCAAUCCCUUUCAUCAAAAACAAGCAAAUGUAUUGUCCGCGUGGCCAAACCUGGUUUCGAUCGGGUGCCAAAGGUGAAAUGAGUUGGUUUUAGAAGCCUAGGACGGUCUAACCACCCGCAGUUGCAGAUGUGGUAUAGUUCAGUUAGCAUGAAAAGCACCUUUAGUUUGCAGGAGCAAUGGUAGAGAUAUCAGCUGUGUGGUUACCUGCAUGCAGCAAAAAUACAAGAAGUCAGAGAUAAGCCUUUGUAUCUAUGCUUGGAUUAAAAAAAAGGAGGAAGGAACUUCAGUGUUUGGAUAUACAUGCGUCUAUGGUUCCUCUUCUGGUUUCUGAAUGCCAUCUAGUUUAUUGCAUUGAUCGCACGUAUCACAGUUUUUCAUCUCCUGAAGAAGAUAAAGAGUUUCGUGGGGGCACCGUGCUUUCAUCUGGAUGACUGGAUGGAUCUUUUCACAGAAUGAUGGCUUACCAUUUUAGCAAGGAAUACAGCCUCCGAUGCCUCCUGAGCAUACGCAGUCUCUGAAACUGCGAGAAUUUAUAAAUGCAGGGGAACUAACAUUAGAUAUAUGCUCUUGAUACUAUAUCUAUGCUACUUUUGUUCACAGGAUUUAAUUUGUGAUGAAUAACAGUUGCCGCUUGCGGACCAGGAGAAGAAUGGUGACACGUAGUGAUAAGAUGGGUGCAGGCGAGAAACAGAGCACUUGUACAGUUGUACUUGGGUUGUGGCAUGGUGUCGGCGUUCAGCUUGCCCAACAGCAAAGCACAGCACAUACUUUACCUUAAAUUAUGUAGCUCAGCAAACACAAAAGAAUCUCCUCAAAGUGAAAGCCAUCCCAUUUCCAUCAUGAUCAGUAUGCUUUGCUCGUUUGGUUUGCAAAAGCAUAUAUUCCCUGCUUGGUGCUCAGGUUAGGUUUACUUCUCUCCCAACAUUCGGUGCUCAAUUUCCUGUGUGUUUUCUUCCUGGCAGUAUUCGGAUUAUACGGGUGCAUGCAUUCUGUCAUCCAGAAACACAUUCAUCCUGAAAGAAAAAAAGAAGAAGCGGAUAGUAGCACGGAGAGAUGGCUCAUGAAAAGCUCAUGGUGAAGAUGGCGUUGGCCAGCCUACGAUGGGUGGCAUCGCCAAUUGCCAACAAGCUCCUCGCCGACGCCUCAACCUACCUUGGCAUGGACAUGUCGCGUGAGCUCCAAGAACUGGAGAGCACCAUCCUGCCCCAGUUCGAGCUGGUGAUCGAGGCGGCGGAGAAGAGCCCUCACAGGGGCAAGCUGGAGAAAUGGCUCCAGGACCUCAAAGCGGCCUUCUACAACGCCGAGGACGUGCUGGAUGAGCACGAGUACAACAAGCUCAAGCGCAACGCGAAGCAGAGCAAGUGGGCUGCCAUGGCCUGCGGCGGCUCAUGGCCGCCGGGCCGGCUUGCCAACUUGCACCCAGGGAACAGAAGGCUUCUUCGUCAGGUCAAUGAGCUGAAGGACAUCCUGGUGAAGGCCAAGAGCUUCCGCAAGCAGCUUGGCGUCUUGCCGGCUGUGGGAGAUAGUUCACAGUCACAGGGAACUGCAACUGCAACAACAUCAUUUCCCACAUCCAAGGUGUUGGGCCGCGACAUGGAGCGCGAUCACAUAAUACAAUUUCUUUUAAAUGAUGAGGCUUCUUCUGGGUCUGGUUCAGCAAGGAUCUCAAGUUUGGCCAUUGUUGGGCUUGGAGGCAUGGGUAAAUCCACCUUGGCACAAUAUGUUUACAAUGACAAGAGGGUAGAGGAAUACUUUGGUAAAAGGAUGUGGGUUUGCAUCUCACGCAAACUCGAUGUCCGUCGCCAUACACGGGAGAUUAUCGAGUCCGCAGAAAAGGGGGAGUGCCCAAUUGUGGAUAACCUUGAUACUCUCCAGUACAAGUUAAGGGACAUUCUGCAGAAAUCAGAGAGAUUCCUGCUUGUAUUGGAUGAUGUGUGGUUUGAUGAAUCCAACGUGGAAAGGGACUGGGAGCAACUUCUAGCUCCCCUAGCUUCUAAGCAGAGGGGAAGCAAAAUUCUGGUGACUUCUCGGCGCAAUGUAUUCCCAGCUGCUCUUUGCUGCCAAGAGGUGUUUGAUUUACAAGACAUGGAAGAUUCUGCAUUCUUGACACUCCUCAGAGAGCAUGCCUUCUCUGGUGCUGAAAUCAGAGACGCGCAGUUGCGUAUGAACCUGAAGAGAUGCAAAGAAGAUAGCUAGAAGGCUUGGACAAUCUCCCUUGGCAGCAAAAACUGUGGGUUCACAGUUGAGUAGGAAAAAGGAUGUUACUACAUGGACAGCUGCUCUAAGGAGUGACAACUUAAGUGAGCCUAUGACAGCUCUGCUGUGGAGUUACGAGAAGUUAGAUCCUCGUCUGCAGAGGUGCUUCCUGUAUUGCAGCUUAUUUCCAAAAGGGCACAAGUAUAAUGGUCGGGAGUUGGUUCACCUCUGGACAGCAGAGGGUUUUAUCGAUUUGAGUAGCCAGAGCAGAAGAAUGGAAGAUAUCGGCAGCAAUUACCUGAAUGAGCUGAUCGCUUGUUCAUUCUUGCAACCAGGUUCUGAUAGAUUUGGUUUUCGAUGUUAUAUCAUGCAUGACCUCUUACAUGAUUUGGCAGAAAAACUCUCCAGAGAUGAUUGCUUCAGAUUAGAAGAUGAUGAUAUGGCAGAAAUACCCUGCACCGUUCGGCAUCUCUCAGUCCAUGUUAAGAGCAUGAAGCAGCAUAAGCAAAGUAUCUGCAAGCUACGCCAUCUGCGCACUGUUAUCUGUAUUGGUCCUCUGGUGGAUGAUGCAGAUGAUGUUUUCCAUCAGGUACUGCAGAAUCUGAAGAGGCUACGUGUUCUCUAUAUGUGCUUUUACAACAAAGAAAAAUUACCUGAAUCUGUUGGUGAGUUGAAGCACCUUCGGUAUUUGAACGUCAUUCAAACCACAAUAUCAGAAUUUCCUGCAUCUUUGUGCACUCUUUACCACUUGCAGAUCCUUCUGUUCAGUUACAGAGUUCAGAGUUUGCCUAAGAAACUAUGCAAUUUAAGUAAGUUACUAAGUUUUGAACCAUACGGUGAAGCAGGAUCCUACGGGAAGAGACUUUAUGCAGAGCUGCCUCAAAUUCCUUACAUAGGCAAGCUAACUUCGCUGCAAAAUCUUGAUGAAUUCCGUGUGCAAAAGCAGAAAGGAUAUGAGCUGCGACAGCUGAGGGACAUGAAUGGGCUUGGUGGCAGGUUAUCUAUUACACAUCUCGAGAAUGUCACUAGAAAGGAUGAAGCUGCAGAGAUGAUGCUGCAUAAGAAAAGAUAUCUUGAAUUUUUGCGACUUAUCUGGAGCAGUGAGAGUGACUCGCAUGCUGAGGAUAGUUUACAUCUGGACAUUCUAGAAGGUCUGAGGCCACCGGCUCAGUUGGAGGGCCUUGCAAUCGAGGGUUACAAAUCUCACAGAUACCCAAGCUGGUUACUAGAGGGUUCAUAUUUUGACAAUUUGGACUUCUUUCGACUUCAUGAUUGCACUGCGUUAGAAGGUCUACCACUCAACACCGAGGUCUUUAGGCAUUGCUCCAGACUGGUGAUCUCGGACGUACCAAACCUGAAGACAUUACCUUGUCUGCCAGAAGGCAUGGCAUUUGUAUCAAUUGAAGGAUGCCCGCUGCUUAUGUUUAUCUCCAGCAACGAGAUGAGAGAACAUGAUAAGAGAGAAAAGAUUGUGAUGCCAGAGCAGUUGGUGUCUCAGCUUUGUUUAAUCUGGGAGUUGGAUUCAGAAUCAUAUCCACUGAUUAAGAGGAACCUUCAUGAAGAACAUUCAUCUUUGAAGCAACUGACGCCAUUGGUGGAUGCUGAUAUAUCCCAACAUCUUCAGACCAUCAGCGGGACCCUUGAACAAGAAAAAGAUGAAGUAUAUGAUAAAGAAACAAUCAUCAAGGCAUGGUUAUGUUGCCACGAGCAGAGAAUAAAACUUUUGUAUUGGACUAAUAUUGGGCAACAGUUGCUUCUGCCAUCAACUCUGGAUGACCUUAGUCUUUCUUCAUGCAGUAUUACAAAUGGCGCUUUAGGAGUUUGCCUAGGCAGCCUCACUUUACUAAGAGAACUGUCACUAACAAGGAUAAUGACUUUAACUGCACUUCCAUCAGAAGAGGUCUUCCAACAUUUGACAGCAC
rnacentral:lncRNA from 1 species